UACUUAGUAAACCACAAUGAGUCACUCCCAAAGCCACCAUACAUUUCAUCUCACUCGAAAGCCACCAUACAAUUUCAUCUCAUUAUAAAGAACAAGAGCGAGGCAGCGUGGGUAGACUUCACAGGCAAAAAAAUCUGAAAACCUGAACUCUGUGACAAUGGAAAGGAACAAAUUGUACACAUGAAUAACAAUGAAGAAUAACACAUGACUAAAGGAAGUGGUUUAUAUCACGGAUGACACCAAGGACAUAUCAUCAGAUCCCUGCCUUGCCAAUGGUGUCGUUGGUGUCAGAAGUCUGUGCUUCGCAAGUGUAUCUCUGAACUUCUCAAUCUGCAUACAACAGUUACCAAUUGUAUAAGUUAAAUCAACUGGUAGCCAUUAACGAUAAAUAUUGGACCAUAGGACCUUAUAUAUAUGCUGAAGCACUAAGACACAAGUCGACUAUCUAGAGGCCAAUGGAAGUCAGAUGGCACAUCAAAGACAAGUACCAGAUCACGAAACUGUUAUUGCUUUCAGCUGCAAGGGCCUCCUUAAUUUCUUUGCCUAGUAGAUCUGAAGGCACUGCAACGGGCACGUACUUGGGACCACCUACUAAUUCCAUUUUUUCAUUUGUAAAUAAUAACAAAACCCUCAAAACUUUUCAUUUCACCGACUUAAUUAAUAUAAUUGCUCAUUGGCCAUAGAAACAUCUUCCAAAAUAACUAUACUCGGCCUUACUUUAACAACAAUUAGAAUAGGGGGCACAAAAUUAAUGACAGUAGAACAUAGGAUCUCACGGUUGCAUUGAUACAACUGAAGUUGCAGAGUUGACCUUUUGCUCCCCUGUAGAACGUGAAGAAAGGUGAAGCACUACGGGCACAAGAAGACCGACGGCAUCUGCGAUUCACCCGCGUUCCCUUCCCGUCAGAUCUGCGCUGCAUGGCGAGAGGGGGUAGGUUCUUUGGCCCGUCGAGACGCUUAUCUGCCGCGGGCGUGUGGCGCAUUCGGCCUUCCAAUGGGGAAUGAUGCUGGUUGUUGUUGGAUUCUGGGACUGCUCUAGUCAUGGAGGCCGGCCGUUGCUGUUCCAUGCUCGUGCGUUGUCUCUUCUUAUAUUGUAUGGGUUUGGUGAAUCCAUUGCAGCCUGUGUCAAAGGCAGCGCUGACCAUGUCAAGGCUGAAGUGUGCGCUCGGGGGAUGUGAAUAUGUGAUCUAAGGGCACUUAUGGUCUUCUUGAUCGGCGUGCCAAUUCUAAUCCUAAUGAUAUAUGUACGCGCAUGGGCAGAAGGAAGAUGACGUACUUUCUUUGGCCGAUCUGGGAAUCUCCUCCCAAGCCCUUGAGGACAAUAAUCCCCCCACUACUACCACGAGAACGUCACCAUGGAGAACCUCUGCAGGCUACACGGGUGGAUGACAGGAGCUGGAGGGCGUCGAUGCACAGGUACUGGGCCGGAGAGACGAGGUACGCGCACUCCCGGCAGACGGACGCGCCGCUCCUCGCCAACUCCGCGUGGCACUGCAGCAGCUUCUGCUUCCGCCGCAUCAGCGACUUCGCCAAGACCGCGUGGCACUGGACGGCGGACCGCACCGGCAGCCGCUGGGGGCUUGGUGGUGGGGGCGGCGGGGGCACGGACCAGAGCCGCGAAGGCGACGAAUGAAUCGAAGACGAUCCAAAGAAUGAGCCAGCAACCUACCGUCGAGCCAUGCGAUUGAGGUCGUCGGCGCUGACCAGGUGCUCCAUAUGGCCGGAGAAGUUCUGUAGGUCCGAGAACACUCCCCGCGCCAUCAUCUUCUUGAGGGGGUCCAUGACGCCGGGCCCUCUCAGGGCGGGCGGUGGUAGCGAUGGUGUGGCAGGAAGGAAGAGGGUGAGAUGGGGGUUGCGCGAGCUGUGGCGGCAGGGAGAGGAAGUGAACGGGUGACGGCGGGACGCGAGGCUGGCGGGCUACCGUAUCACUGGGAUGGGGGAGGGGAGGGGACGGGCACGACCCGGGGUAGAGGUGUCGGCUACCGUAUCGCCGGGUGGGGCGUGGGGUUGUUGCGCAUCCAGGCGAGGUGGGAUCACAGUUGGAUCGCGCGGGGACGACGGCGAUCACGGAUCGGGCAGGGUGAUGUUAGCGGCGGCGCGAUGAUCGCGGAUCCCAUCACGGAGAGGACGGCGGGUUUAUCCAAGGAAAACUGAGGGUGUUUUUUGUAAAAAAAAAUGACGUACGACGACCGUUAAAACUGGUGCUUUAAGUAUAGUAUAGAUAUCAGCAAAAAUUAAUACAUUACUAACAUAUGGUACAAAUUAACAGAAGAGAAGAUAUAUUUCAUAGUUAGAACUAGCAUAAAUUGCGAUCUCAAUGUUGAAGGACCAAUGUAAAGCUUGUCGGUGCUUCGGGAGGGAAAAUGAAUGGUGCUACAAUGAAGGACCUGACUUCCUUAAUUAUCAUGUUGUGCAAAAUGGUAUAUGCACAUAUGAUCACAUCGAGUGCUGGGUGGAAAAUUAACAUUCCACGCUAGCGAGGAUAUGGAAGCGAGAGUUGAGGACUCAAAAUACUCUCUAUAUAUCCUUUCGUGCACCUUCCAAGCAUGCAACAAACACGACUUUUGAGUUUGUUGAAGGAAAAUGACAUUCAUAAACAUUGGCCACCUGGGAUAGAUACCAUCGGUGAGGUAGUACCUUCGGUUGUACUUAUAUACAUUCACCAUGAAGCUUCUUCCUUAAACACGUCAAUGAACAACAUCGAUUAGUUGAGCAUGUUGGUAUCAUUGUUCAACCCCGCUACCCUAAAAAAACAUGUAAAAUCCAUGAGUCAUAUGAGGCAACUGAUUCGUGUAUGAUGAUAGACGAUCCAAUGCCCCCAUGUAAAUUGUCCACUUCUAAUGCAUACAAUAUAUACUUCCUAUCAUACCAAAAAAAUCCCCUCUUCUCCACAUUAGAUAAAAGUCGCCUAAGAUCAUCAAUACUGGCAUGAUGACUAUAUUUCUUGCCAAAACAUGAAAUUACACUCCUAUAAAAAAUGUUCGAGGCACUUUAAGGCUGAUAUUUUCCAUAUUUUAAUAUACUCAUCAAUGGAGUCAGCAAUGCUACCGUAGGUGAGCAUGUGGAGGACAAUGAUGCAUUUUUUGUGUGGGGAGAAUGAAGAAGGGGGAUAAUCACCCAAAUUCUCUAAGAUUUUAAGAAAGAGGCUCCUCCGCUUGUGGUCUCUUCAACAAAAGUGGAAUGGAGGGUAGACACAUGGAUCAUUGAAGUAGUAUUUCAUCAACCGGUCGUAGAUGGCUUCAUAAUCUUAGUCGAUGUAACUUCAAUGAUGUAACUUUUACCUCUUUCUCGUUGAAGACCCGAAGGAAAGCUUUAUCGUCGCAUCCACCAUAGUUUGAUGCAGAAUAUUGAGUACUUCAUUUUCAGUCAUCUCAACAUCUGAGUUCAAGAAAGACAUGACGAUAAUGUUUAGUGGAGUGAAAGCGAGAGUGAGAGGGGUGGAAUAAGGAGUGGUAGGAGCAAAUUAAAGAGCGAUGGAUGUGAAUGAACCCAAAUACCCCCUAAGACUAUAUCCAACGGGUAGUGUAAAAUAGGGGGCACAGAACUGUAGAUAACAAUGUUUGACACUGUUUGCAAAGUGAAGUUUGAAAUAGGGGAUUAGGGGAUGUGAUAGGGGAUCUGCUAAAGAUAGCCUAAUCAGCCCAUUCAGUACACAAGAGUUGUGAAUUAACUCCUACAUGCUAGAACAACACUCCAUACAGAUCGAAAGCCUCCCAAGCGCCAAAUCGAGAGAAUCAAGCAAGUGAUAGACACUCUAAAGUGGUUUUUGGUAGUGCCUUGUGUGAGUGUGUUAGAUAAGGGUGUGUUGCUACCAUCUUGUGCCCUUAUGUUUUGAGUUGCGAACUCCCAUUGUUGUAAACGCUAGCAAGAGGCUUUGAAUCUGUGAGUGCCUUGUGGAGACUCUGGUGUCUCAGAUUGAGUGGAGGAAAAGAGAGGACUCAAGUUUGAUCUUUGGAAUCAGUUGAGAGGGUUGAAAGAGACCUGAUCCCUUGUAGGGAUGGCAACGAGCAUAUUUUACCUGCGUGGCCGCGGAUAAAAACCAUAUAGGGUGUGGGUUUGGGUGAGUUUGUACCCGUGGGCACGGGUGCGGGUUUGAUUCCCAAUCCAAUGGGUUUUUUCUCGUGGGUACGAAAAAGUUGUACCUCCGUGCCCACAAACCCGCAUACAUGCAUAUAGGAUAUAUAUAUGUAUAUAUGCGUAUAUAUUUAGAAAUAUGUAUAUAUGUGUGUGUAUAUAGAUAUGUGUGUGUGUAUAUAUAUGUACAUAUAUUAUAUACAAUGUGGCUACAAAUAUAUUAUACAUAUUUAUAUAUCAAAUUAUCGCGUCUCUUUAUGUUUGUUUUUCAUGCUAUUUGUUCUUCCCUCUCCCUCUCUAAGUUCUCUUGCAUUUGAUCAUGAUUCAAAUCUUAAGUGUUGCUCCUAAAGUUUAUUCCGCAAUCGUUUGAGCAACACUUUGCAAGAGGAACUCCUAUUCCUACCUCGAUUCUAUUUUCUCUUCCUUUAACAACUAAUUGGAAUCAAUUUUUUUUGUUGUAAGUGGUUAAUUUCUUGUUUCACCUAUUCACCGCUGCUAGGCGACUAUCACUUUCAUAUGUGAGAGCACUAUGUCAUAGAGUCUUGCAUAUGUUAGAAAACAAUAUAGUCUUGCAUAUAUUAGAGAACAAUGUUGCAGGGAUGGAGCUACAUGUCAACUGAAGUGGGCUAUGGCACCCUAGGCUUAGAAAAAUAUUAGUGAUCCAGUGACCCUUCUAAAUGACCCAAGUAAAUAAAUAAGAGGCUGAAGACCAAACCAUGAAGACUUUGCUUAUGUUUUGCCCUUCUGAUUCUAGAAAAGCACAGCGUCCAAAAGCAGAGGUGUUUGGAAGCGGGUACCCUCUAUAGCACCAACAUCUUUGAAUUUAUAUAGAGGGUUCAAUCCUUUACAUGAUGGAGUAUAAAACUAGGACCAUUAAGUUGAUACAUGUUGUUACACAAUUGGUCUAUGACUCAACCUACUAUAAAACCUAUCAUACAAGAAAGAAAUUAGGCUUCACACAUAUGUUAAAAUCCCCCUCAAUCACAACUUCUUAAUUUGAGAAACUAUGUUGCGUAACUCUUUGUGGUAGAGAUAGGAACACUUAGUAAAAAUUGUAGUUGCACAUAUGAUAGUUUAUUUAUUGUAUAUGUUUUGACUAGAAGAAAAAUAGAGGCUACAAUUUUAGAAAGAAAUUAAAUUACCUAAUUCACUCUUCCCCUUAGGCGGCAUCAUUCCUUCCAACGCCAACUAACCACUCGGCUAUAAUUGUACUUCACUAAGCCACACAAGAAUGAGUUUGGUUCAUACAGAUGACCGAUCACAUCCAAAAGUCAUGUAGCCUCAGUUUUAACAAUUUUCUCACUAUUAUCUAUGAAUAUAUUGUUGCUUGUGUUGCACAAAUGUAUAAGGUUUAUGCAAAGAACAAUUUUAUAAAAUAUAUGCUCCAAAGUUUUUUACUCAACGAGCAUAAAAGGAUAGAGGAAGUAAAUAUCCUACAAACUUCUUUUGAAAAAUCUAGCAAGUUUUUUUUACAAAUAUCUACUAAUUGUUAUCUUACAAAGGUGUGUUCACAGAAUCGUCAUGAGGCCGCGGGCUACAACCCACAUAAAUGAUCCCUAUCUUAAGAGGUAUCAAGGGAGUAAGUGCAAAAAAACACAAGAGACGUUAUCUUGGUAAGGAACGUCUCUAACACAGUUUUCUAAGUCUAAAUACGGAUCUACCCACAUAAAUGAGUUAUAUAUUGAGAGGUUCUAGUGAAUAAGUGCAUGUACAAAUCUGAGACAUCAGUUCGGUUUUUCAAAUACAAGAGACGACUAAGAGAUUGCAUGGUACAACCCUAGGACCCUAGAUCAUCAAUGCAACUAAGAGAUAACGUGUAUAAAAAGUCGUGAAGAGAUGGGUUCUUCGUGAAGAGUCUGUCUCUUAUAUUUUUUUCACUUAGCACAUUAGAGACCACUCAAGAUACCUCAUAUUAAAUGAGGUUGUAUAUACCUUAAGAUACAAGACUUAGAAACAUUGGACUGUAUGAAAUAUUUUCUUAGGUGUAUCUAACGUUUGAACAACCAAAACAUAGUAUCUAUUUUGUACAUGCCUUAAGGAGCUGCACGAUUCAGGAAAGGAGAAAUUAAACUCCUUAAACCAUAGUCCUUAAUAGUCCUGAAAGUCUGGGCCGUGCCUAAUGGGCCGGCCCGAACACGGCCCGUAAUAAAUGAAAUAAAGCACGGCCCGACACGGCUGAUUUAAAAUCGGGCUAGCACGGCACGAAUCGCGGGCUGGGCCGUGCUCUAAAUGUCAGCCCGUCGUGCUAUAAGGCCCGACACGUCGUUGUGGGCCGGGUUCGUGCCGGCCCGGCACGGAAACAGCACGGUGCGCAGACCGGCUUUCAUCUACCGCACGCGAUUAGGGUUUCCUCCCACUGGCCGCCGCCAUCCAUUCAUCCAGGACGCCCAGCCGCCCAGCUUCCUGCUGUAGGCUCCUUUCCUUUCACUCGUCGUGCGCAGCAGCCAGCAGGCAGCACGGCCGCACGGGCGCCCGGCCUUUUUUCCUCCCGACUCGACACCUUCUCCCUUUGCUGAACUGCUGUGCUGGAGGCUGGAGACCGAUGGAGCUGGAGUCGCAGCCGAGGAGACAGGAGAGCAUGCGCAUGCGGUGCGGGUCUGCAGAUCAGCGGGUGGACCGUCCAGAGUCCACGAGCUGGAGCGCAGCCGCAGCGUCCGCCGGCCUGGCUUCCUUCCUGCCCUCUGCGUCUCCGCCGCGAUGUAUGUCAAUAUGCCUACAGCCUACUGCCGAAUGCCGAUUGCAUAGGAGCUGCAAGAACGAGACGAAGAAAACCACAUGUUCUAAGUCAAUGGUGGCCUGUCAUUUGAGCAACUCCCAGAAAUAUUAACAGAGAAAGGUCUCCCUACGUUCAACACCACGCCAGCUGCAAGAAGGACCAACAGAGAAAGGUCUCCCUGCGUUCAACACCACGGUCUCCCUGUGUUGUGUUCGCUUACUGCGUGCCGUGCCUGGGCCAGCACGGCCCGAUGGAAGCCCGUCGUGCUUUAGGGCCGUGCUGGGCCUUGCUUCUACUCACUAGGCCCGGUAAGGCAUGGCCCGAUUCUAUUUCGGGCUAGCCAGGCCCGACUAAUUGAGGCCCGAAGCACGACGGGCUCGUGCCGGGCCGGCACGGCACGGCCCAAGUUGCAGCACUAGUCCUUAACUGUGUUUCGGAAGACCAUAAACUGGUGUCGAAGACAAGUAGGCCCCGAAGACCUAAAGAUCACCAAGUCAGAUCCCGAGAACCAAACCGUUGUACUUCUUUUGUCGGGGACAUUUUUUUCUUUACGCAAAGUUUUUAACAAGACAACAGAUACAGCAUAACUUGCUCGUGCAAUAUAUAGUACAUGGACGUGAUUCACGUGAGGGGGAAUGAUGUUGUGGAAGAGUGAAACGAUAUGUAUGGGUCAUUGUUGAAUCGUGUGACCUCGUCACUAAAGAACAAACACAUGUGGACAUGUGAUGACCUAUCAAGACUGAUUAAAUAGACAUGUAAACAGGAGGCUGGUCACUUUCUUGAACACGAUAACAAGAAGUGAAAUAAUGAACUCUCAACAUAUUUUUUUAUUUAAAUAUCCUUGUGUUUUUAUCGUGUUCCUUGCACGGACGGAAACGAUUUUUUUAGAGUGUGUUUGGUUGAAGAGUCAACUAUAAUGGAGCGGCUCUAUUCUAGAUUUUGAGAACCGAGCCGUGUUGGCAAGAGCUGCUCUAUUUUUUGUUUGAUUGGAGAGUUAUAUGUUUUUUUAAAGAGAAGGAAAGAGAGGAGAGCGUUCGUGUUUCCUGUUCGAGGGAGCACUAAUUGUUUUGGUGGAGUAUAAGCAUUUCAUAUUAAACCGCUUCGCUCUGUUUUAUUAGAACCAAACAUAAAAAAAAUAUAUUUUUAACUGCUUGCUAGCUGCUACUAUCUCGCAUGGCAUUCACGGUAGCCAGUCGAGGCGCAUACCGGGCCAUACCGCAGGUGAUGAGACGGUGGACCGUCUGACGGCCCUACUGAACCAGGCCGCGGUUGGCACUUGGGCUCUGCUACCACUACUACUACUAGAAAACCGAAGUGCCUUCGCUGCCCUCGGUCGCCGGCCUCAGAAAAGUCGCGCCAAGUCGGCAGCGUGCGCUACUGCGCUGUGCCGACCACUCUCGUUCCCGUCUCCGUCUCGCGCGCCUCGCCUUCGGGUUCGUGCUUUGGCCCAGCAUGCUCCGUUCGUGUUUCCCUCUUGUGGCCCGGAAAGCGCUUCCGGCCCAGUUGGUACGGGUGGAACUUGGAGUUCUCAUCCACCCGGAGUCGCGUUUCCUGCGAGUCGCCAAUGAACUUUCCGUGCGAUGCUGCCGCAGUGCCGCGUGAUGCCGUGAUGUGUGCUGUGUUGUGUGCAGGUGCAGCGGUCAAGAAAUCAGGCUCCGCGUCCGCCGUGGACGUGUGGAUAAGGAAGGACGAGAGGUCGGGACGUGGUCCGUGUCCCCAAGUCGGAACGAGCCGAGACGUGCGUGCAGCAGGUGUGCGCCGUCGACUCCAGUGGACCAAUCCGGUGGUGGCCGUGGCAUAUGCCGCUUAAUCGCUUGCACGCCAACGCCGAUGCGCUGGCGGACGUCGACCCACCGUCCCGUGGCCGUGGCAGGCGUGGAUGCCUCACCCUCAUGCCUGGGUGGCGGACAUGGACGGCUUUUUCUGCCAUCCGUUUCCGUCGAUCUCUAUUGCGUGGAAGUAGUAGUCGCCUAGUGUUCUUCUCUGCAAACAAAGCGAACAAAAAAAAAGGGAUUUUCUGCGUUUAUACGAGCAUCUCCGAGAGUUUCAAAACACUCUUCCAAUCUUUAACUUCUGUCAAGAUUUUUUUUUUUAAAAAAACAUAACUUUGAAUAAAGCUUCUCCGACACUCACGUGCGCAGUCACGGCCGGCCGCGUGUGUCCGGCCCGAUCGUCACCUUCUCCAGCGUCGAGCACGUGGGUUCCUCGUGAUCAUAUCGAGCAAUGAAGGCAGCGACUGUGUCUAACUGAGAAGCUGAAAUCUACAUUUUCUCGCUGUGCCGGAUCCAUCGGUACCUUGUAACUGGAUUCCCCCCUUUUAUUAUUUAUCAUUAUUAUAUGCAGAUGAUUGGCGUCGCUCAUUUGCUUCUUCUCGCCGAUGCCCGAUGAGUACAAUCAGCACUACUACACCAUCCGCCAUCAGAUGCAUUACUAUUCUUAGUUGAAUGAUUCCGAUCACGUCGCCAUCAUCCCCACGCGAGGACACCAAGUCGAUCGCCUUUUCUUGUCUGCUCCCCCAUAGGCGAGUUGACUGUUGGCGCUGAAUCCUUGAUCCAGUCGGCGUCAACAGUUCUCGAUUCCUCCUUGCCCAAGUUUCCAAUUCCAGUUCUCGAGAGAAAACGUCGUGCAGUGCAGCGCAACUGGGUCGCCCUUCUCUUCGACUUCUUGAGUCGCCCUUUUCGUCCCCUUGUUGUCGGAGUCGCGCGAGGGAUUCCCCCUUCUUUUCCCCCUCCUCCUUUCUCGGGAUCAGCGAGCCUAGGCCUAGCUGAGGUGUUGGCGCCAGCCAGCAUGAAGUACAAGAAGAGCCGCGACGCCACGGGCCUCGGGUCCAACGGCGACGGCGGCUGGCAGAAAGGCGGUGGCGAUGUGCCGCCGAGCAUCCAGCUGGACAUCAUGGAGCACCGUGGCGCCGCCGCCACAACCGGGCUCGGGACCGGAGGCACCGCCGGCUCGGCGUCCUUCUUCGAGCCGUGGCGCGAGCGGACGCCGGGCAGCAGCGGAAGCGGGCGCGGCAGCUCCGGCGGAGGGGGCGACGGCCGGGAGCCGCCCGAGAAGCGGCUCACGCUGUUCGCCCUCCGGCUGGCCGUGUUGGAGAAAGCGGCGAGCGGGCUCGGGAAGCUCGACUUCGUCUGGGCCACCGUCGUGCUCCUCGGCGGCUUCGCGAGCACCCUCAGCAUCACCGACUUCUGGUGCGUCACCGUCAUCCUCGUCGGCGAGGGCGCGCGCGUCUUCGGCCGCAGCCACGAGCUGGAGUGGCAGCAGCACGCCACGCAGACCUCCACCGCCGGCGGCGCGCUGCGCUCCAGCUCCCGCUUCUUCCGCCACAUCGUGCACGCCCUCGUCGACCCGGCCGCGGCGGCCGCUGGCGGCCGCCGCAACGACGACGACGACGCGCGCGCCAGGGCCGCGCUGUUCCAGCGCCAGAUCGUCGCGUUCAUGAGGCGCCGCGCCUGGCACGCGCCGGACGUGUCGCUGCUCCCCUACACCGGCUGGGUCUUCGUCUCCAGGAAGAUCGGCAGGCUGCUCAACUGGAUGCAGGUGCUCUCCGCCCUGGCCUGCGUCGUGCUCUCGGUGAUGCGUCUCUGGAAGCAGGACUUCGGCGGCCGCGACAGCCGCAACAUGAGGCCGGCGCUCCUGCUCUUCUACACCCUGGCGCUCGUGGAGGCGUCGCUCUUCCUGUUCGAGAAGGCGUACUGGACGUGGAAGGUCUCCGUCUGCAAGCUGCUCCACCAGGUGAGCGCCGAGUGCGAGCUGGGCCCGUACGGGCUCGUCUCCCUCAAGCGCUUCUUCUACGACGCCUACUCGCGGUGCAUCGCCGGGAGCAUCUUCGACGGCAUCAAGAUGGACCUCGUCACCUUCGCCGAGGACCUCAUCCUCUCGGACUUCCUCGACGAGCAGAUCAUCGGCGUGCGCAUCCUGCAGCAGUUCGCCAACAGCGAGCGCUCCGCGAGCGACACGCUGCGCAAGGUCGGCACCACCCCGAGGUCCAUCGACCGGCUCGUCGAGAUGCUCAACUGGAAGCGUACCGAAGAGGAUGAGGUGCGACUGUGCGCCGCCGAGAUCGUGUCCAAGCUCGCCAGCAAGCGUCAGAACGCGCUCCGCGUGUCCGGCAUCCCUGGGGCCAUCGAGUCCGUCACGUCCCUGCUCUACACCGCCACGAGUCCACCCGUGUCCGGAACGCACCCGCAGCUGCCCGGUGCUCCCGCCGAGCACGGAGCCUCACCGCCGGCGGCGAGCCGCGGCUACGACCACCUGCAGUUCAACUUGCUGGGCCUGCUCAUCCUCAAAAGGCUCGCCAGGGACCACGACAACUGCGGCAAGAUCGGUAACGCGCGAGGCCUGCUCGCCAAGGUCAUCAACUUCACGCAGGCGUCGCGGGCUCUCCUCCAGAACCCGCACGUCACCGACUCGCAGGUGCGCGCCAUGAAGCGCGCGCUCAAGGUGGUCAAGAUGCUCGUGUCCACGACGGGUAGCACCGGGAAGGCGCUCCGGGAGAGCGUCGCGGAGAACGUCUUCACGGUGAGCAACCUGCGCGGCAUACUGCGGUACGGGCAGCAGCACAGGGAGCUGCAGAAGCUUGCCACGGACGUGCUCACUGGGCUGGCCAUGCACGACAGCGGCAAGGAGGCCAUCGUGGCCACGGGAGGCGUCGUCAAGCUGCUGCUUUCGAUAUUCUUCAAUGUCCAAGACACGGAACUCGGUCGCGAGGCCGGCGAAGCGCUGGCGAUGCUGGCUCUGGAGAGCGAGGCCGGAUGCGCGGCGAUACUCAGGCAGACCGACGUGCUGGACCAGCUCGUGUCGGCAUUGCAGGACGGCGACGCACGGCGGCGCCUCAACGCGGCGAGGGUCCUGCGGAACCUGUGCGCGUACUCGGGGCAACAGCAGAGGGAGCGGCUGCGCGUGGUGACCAAGGCCUUGCCGGCGGUGCUGAACGCCACCAAGGUGGACAAAGACAGAAUACUCGAGGUGUCCGUCGGCCUGUCGACGGAGAUCUGCCAGUUCAUCGACGGCGAGCAGUUUGCCGCCGAGCUGCGCGGCGCCGGCGUGGCGGACGAACGCGCAUACGUGGAGCUGCUGGCGAGCAUCCUGAAGCAGUACAGGUAUCCGGACAUCAGGGUCCCACGAAUGCGACGGUUCGUGGUGCAGCAAGUCAUCUGGCUGAUGACGAGUUCGGGCGGAGGCGGUGACCACAGCGGCGGGUACGUUCAGCUCCUCAGGGAGGUGGGCAUGAAGCGGCUGCUAGAGUCCAUCGCUGACACCACGUCGGAGCUGGAGUGCUACCACGUUUUCUCAGGAAGCGUCGGCAUCAGCAAGCACCGUGAGAGCUUCUCCGCCAUCGUGGACUCCGCGCUGGAGCUGAUCGCCGGCAGCGGUGAUGGAGCCCGAGCUGAAGACUGAAAGGUUGCAUGGAAUUAUGAAAAUACAUAAAAGGGCAGCUGAAGUCUGCACUCUGCACUCGUGUAGAAUGUAAAAAGAAUGUAAAGAAGUAUGAAAAUUACAAGGGACACCGUGUAGAAUUUAAAGUUUUGUACAGAGAGAGAGAGACUUGCAUGCCAUGCCAAACGAGGAUGGUUUCAUCAAGUAGAGAAUAUAUAAUAGUUCCAAGCCCAACUCGGAGGAAUUCGUUCAAUUUGUGCAAAUUUCAUAAGGGAGUUGUUAUAUUUCAGGUGUCUAAAUAUUUACGGACUUUAAAGAAAUAAUCUCAUACGAUCAACUACUACAAUUAGAAAACAACUUACAAGAGAUAAUUUACAUUUCUUUAUAACCAAACAAUGGCAAAAUUGCAUGUUAUAUAAAAAACACCUGAGAUAUAGAAGUGAUCGUAUAAAGUCUAUGGUUCAUAUACAUAUGAACUAAUGGAUUUGUGGCCUUCAACGUGUUCUUAUUGACACUGAUGAUUUCGUUCUUCCCAAGCGUCGAGGACAAUUCUUAAGCCUUCUUCGUGAACAAGGCAUGAUAGAUUUCUAAUAGCAGAAUCUCAACCAAACAAGUACAACGACAGAAUGGAUUUCUAAAAGAACUAAAGAUUUCUCUAAUUUAAUUCAGAAUCUCAUCCUAGCUUAGAUUUUUUAUAUUUCUGUCAUCUAUGUUACCAAGCUAUCAUGCUCUUAUAGAAUUUAUAGUUGACAGUUGUUUCAACCAACUAUAUUUUAGAUUUUUUUACAACCGUCAACUUGAAAUAAUUUUCUCACAUCUCACAUAUAGAAUCACAUUUUUAUGAAUCUACAGCUGAACCAAACAGACUUUGAAUUUUGUCCCCUUUUCUUCUUUCGCUAACUGCAUUCCUCGCUGAUAAAUUCAUGCCCAACACUAAAUUUUAGCUAGAUAUAAAUGUUUUGUAUUUUUUGAUAAAAUAAAUUGUUGGUCUUUGAUAUGAUCUAGAAGUGUGAACUGAGGUUCCAGCUGUACUGGAAAUUUGAGACCCUACUGUUUCGUGUGGAAAUACAAGUCUUCUCCUUGAAAAGUAUAAGUCUUUUUAGUGUAAGUUCACAAAAUAUUUUCACUUUUCACCCCACUGAAAACUUGAGACCAUAGUGUUUUAUCUUUUUUGCAACUGAAUUCUAUCCUGCUCUCUGUUAACAUUUCUGUUCACUACAUGUAUUUCUUCCUUGUUUUUUAUGAAAUGUCCAACCUGCAUACUAUUAUUAAUGAAGUCAUGGUAGGUGGUGAUGACCGAUGAACCAAAUCGGCACUGGUUAGAGUGUAAAACGCUCUGAUUUCUUGGCCAAGUUUGGUCGUACAAUUAGAUUCGGAAUCUGACAUUAUUGUGACUACUGUUUAUGUAUUAACUUCGUUCUCGAAUAUUUGUCGCUGAUUAGUUUAUUUUUGAACUAAAACGCGAUAAAUAAAAAUGAAUGGAGGGAUUGGUUUUGGUGGUUUACUGACUUAGAUGUGUGGCCGUAGGCGGUAUUCGCCCACUGUUUGUAAAUUCUCCACUUGUUCUUACAACUGGGCCUUCCAGUUCCAGGCACGCAACCUUGGGCUGUUCCAAUCACGUCGCCGUCAUUUUCUCACGCUAAGACACAAGACGUCACCGUUAUGAGCUACUUCCCAUCAGCUCCCUCUCCAUGCGUGACUUGACUGUUCAUGCCAGACCUCGACGAAUUCCGCUCCAAGAAGGCAAGAACUGUCGUCUCCGUUCCUCGCGGAACUUUCCAUGUCCAGACCUACAAACAAUCGUCAUAUAGAGCCGCGACUCAUUCCUUUCGAAUUCAUGCUCAUGCGCUCCAUUCCGAUCCUGGCUUGGAAUAACAGUGAGCCUGUGCAUACACGUUGGGCGCCAUGAUGUACAGGAAGGGCCGCGACUCCAACGGCGACAAGUCACAGGAAGGCGGCGGCGAUGUGCCGCCGAGCAUCAAGCUUGACAUUACGGAUCACCCUGCUAGCGGCGGCGGCAAGACGGCGUCCUUCUCCGAGCCGUGGACGCCGACGCCUGGAAGUGGUAGUUGUCGUGGCAGCAGCAGCAGCAGUUCUGGUAGGAGCGACCCGCCGGAGAAGCAGCUCACGCUGUUGGCGCUACGCGUGGCUAUCCUCGAGAAGGCGGCGAGCGGGCUCGGGAAGCUCGACUUCGUGUGGGCCACCGUCGUGCUCCUCGGCGGUUUCGUGAGCACGCUCAACAUCACCGACUUCUGGUGCAUCACCGUGAUCCUCGUCGGCGAGGGCGCGCGCGUCUUCAGCCGCAGCCACGAGCUGGAGUGGCAGCACCACGCCACGGAAACGUCCACCGCUGGCGGCGGGCUGCUCCGCUCCAGCUCCCGGUUCUUUCGCCGCAUCCUGCACGCCUUCGUCGACCAUACCGGCGGCGGCGGCCGUAACGAAGAGGAGCCGCAUCAGCACGCCACGCCAACCACCGACGCUGGCGGCGUGCUGCCACUGCCACCGCUGCGCUCUUGCCGCCGGUUCUUCCGCCGCGCCGUGCACGCCCUGGCCCACCCGGGAGCGGGCGGUGCAGAUGUCGGCGGCGACGCGAUCACGACGUCGGCAAUGUUCCAGAACCAGAUCGUGGCCGUCGUGAAGAAGCGCACUGGGCACGCGCCGAACGAUGUGUCGCUGAUCCCCUACACCGGCCGGAUGUUCACCUAUAGGAACAUCGGCCGGUUGCUCAACUGCCUGCAGGUGCUCUCGGCGUUCGCCUGCGUCGCGCUCUCGCUGAUGCGCCUCUGGAAGCACGACUUCGGCAGCGGCGGCAACAUGAGGCCUGCGCUCCUGCUCUUCUACACCCUGGCGUUGCUGGAGGCGCUGCUCUUCCUUCUGGAACAGGCCUACUGGACAUGGAAGUUCUCCUUCUGCAAGCUGCUCCGUCAUGUGAGCGAGGACUGCCAGCUGGGCGCGUACGGUCACGUCUCCCUCACGCGCUUCUUCUACGACGCCUACUCGCGGUGCGUCACUGGCAGCAUCUUCGACGGCAUCAAGAUGGACCUCGUCACCUUCGCUGAGGACCUCAUCCUGUCUGAUUUCCUGGACGAGCAGCUCAUCGGCGUGCGCAUCCUAGAGCAGUUCGCCAUGAAGGUGAACUCGGCGGGCGAUACGCUGCGCAAGGUCGGUACUAGCCCCCGGUCCGUCGAGCGGCUCGUCGAGAUGCUCAACUGGAAGCGGCCUGACGAGGUGGAGGUGCGCCAGUUAGCGGCGGAGGUCGUUUGCAAGCUCGCCGGCGAGCGCCAGAACGCACUCCGCUUGUCCGCCAUCCCCGGCGCCAUCGAGUCCGUCAUGUCCCUGCUCUACACAGGCCGGAGCGCCGCCGUUUCCGGCAUGCACCCGCAACCGAACCAUGCUGCCGGUGAGGGCCGCGACUUCGACAACGACUACCUGCCGCUCAACCUGCUGGGGCUAAGCAUCCUCGAGAAGCUCGCCAAAGAUCAGGACAACUGCGGGAAGAUCAGCAACGCGCGCGGCCUGCUCGCCAAGAUCAUCGAUUUCACGCAGACGUCCAAGGAUCUCCUCGGCAGCCAAUGCGUGUCGGAUUCGGCGGUGAGCGCCGUGAAGUGCGCGCUCCAGGUGGUGAGGAUGCUGGUGUCCACGACGGGCAACACGGGCCACGCGCUCCGGCAGGGCGUCGCGGAGAACGUGUUCGCUGUGUGCAACCUGCGCGGGAUACUGCGGUACGGGCAGCGGCACAAAGAGCUGCAGAUGCUGACCAUCGACGUCCUCACCGCGCUGGCCCUGGACGACAGCGGAAAGGAAGCGAUCAUGGGCACCGGAGGGUUGGUCAAGCUUCUGCUCUCGAUAUUCAUCAGCGCCGAGGAGGGAGAGCUCGGCCACGGAGCCGGCGAGGCGCUGGCGAUGCUAGCGCUGGAGAGCGAGACGGGUUGCGCGGCAAUACUCAAGCGAGCCGACGUGCUCCAGCUCGUCUCGGCGUUGCUGGACGGUGACGACGCCCGCCGACUGCACGCGGCGAGGGUGCUGCGGAGCCUGUGCGCGUACUCGGGCCCAGAAUACAGGGAGCGACUGCGCGUGGUGACCAAGUUGUUGCCGGUGGUGCUGGGUAUCACCAUGACGAAGAGCAACAAGGUCCUGGAGGUGUGCAUCGGCCUGACGACACAGAUCUGCACGUUCAUCGACGGUGACCGGUUCGCUGCCGAGCUGCGCGGUGCCGGCGUGGAGGAGGGGGCGUAUGUGCAUCGGCUGGCGACAAUCCUGGGGGAGAACGAGUACCCGAAGGUCAAGAUCCCCCGGAUGCGACGGUUCGUGGUGCAGCAGGUCAUCUGGUUGAUGGCAUGCUCGGGUGGUGGCAGUUACAUGGAGCUGCUGAGGGGAGUUGGGAUGGAGAGGCUGCUCGAGUCCAUCGCAGAUACCACAUCGGAGCUCGAGUGCUACCAUGUCUUCUCGGGCAGCGUCGGUAUUGGCAAGCACCGUGAGAGCUUCCCAGACAUUGUGGACUCCGCGCUUGAGCUGAUCAAAGGCGGUGGUGACAGAGCUCCAGCUCCAGCUCCAGCUCCAGCUGAAAAGUGAACAGAUUCAUCAAAUGUAAUAUAGUCUUCCGAAUUAUAUUAAAAAUUCAUGGUACAUAUGAGGCAAUGUGAUCAGGGAAAGGCAGAAUAGUUGGUUUACAUUAGCUAGAUUCAUCAAGUACAAGAGUAGAAUGUAUAUAGCAGUAGUGUCGUGCAUAAGAGUUCUCUGUAUCAUGGACUAUCCAAUAAAGAGAUAAGCUAGUCUUGGCAUUGCUAAGGAGACAUGAAACAAGAUGGCGUAGCUUCUACAACGAAUAAACUAAUCUAACCAAUUAAGAAAAACAAUCUUUAGAACAGGAUUAGAACUCUUCUGUCAUAGCCGAUUAGUACUAGAAUCGUACGCUUGUCCUCUAGACUAAAAGGGAGACAUAAACACAUCCUUUGUAACAUCUCAUACUCAAUAAUUCAACAUAAGGCAAUUCAACUUGCACGAUGUAGGGUAUUACGCUAUUUAGGGGGUCUAUACACGUCUAAAUCGUUGUCCCGCAUUCACAGUCGAGUUUGGUUUUUCGUUGAGCGUACCAAACCUUACUGUAGGUAACCCUAUAGUAAGAUUAUCGGUCAUCAGAUACUGACAGCUAGCAUGUCAGGUAGAAGCUAUCGACGAUAAAACACUCAAAAUGCUCGACGAACCUCACAAUCAUCAAGAUAGGGUCAACCUCCGUCUUUGAUUGUUGGUCUGCAUGGCGAAUGUUUUCGAAAAACUCCACAAUCGUCUAAUGGAGACUACAAAGAACCAAGCAUCCAUAGCUCUUCAUCAAAAUUUGUUGGAUGAUCUCGUCGAGAAUUUUGACAAUUUCUUGUCAAACUCGGGCGAGGAAAUAUUUUCUAGCCAGCUUGUAAGCAAUCAUACAACUAUGGUUCAAAUCGACUUUGACUCCCGUUCGAGUUCAAGAAUACUGCCUCUAUGUAUCAAAAAUCCUCAAGAUUCGUCCCUUCUACUAAUGCGCUAGGAGAGCACUCAAAGAGGCUGAGACCUUGUAAAGUAAAUGGGCAUAGGUCUAUUUAUAGUUAGGUUUUGGUAUUUUAUGAUUAAUAUGACCAUCUGAACUCUUGAUAUUUGUUAGUGUCUUUGAAUAUAGUUCAAAGUAGAAUUGGACUAAGGCAAAUAGGUGAUCCAUAUGUGUGAAUCAUCUAGGCCCCUUGGCGAUGUUUUGGUAAUUAAUGACAACUGCUUGUGGGCUAACGAUUCUUGGAGAAAUAAGAAUGCAGGGUUGGACCACAUAGAACAGAAAAUCUUGGAGAUUCAUAAGCAUUGGUUGUGGAUCAAGUGAAGGCAAAGGUAUAUCGUAGGUUUCGUUUUGCCGGUCUUGAGGAGUUUAGAGAAGAUACUUGACCGGAUUAGUAGGCUAGAUAGCCGUACUAUUAAGAGGGGUCAAUGACUUUGAUCUGUGUAAAACUUAGUGCCUCAUAGAGAAUCUAGUGGUUGCAUUUGCAUGAGGACUAACAACGCUUCAAAUUUCAUGAAUUAAAACUUCCUUCAAAAGCUUGUUUGAAAAGUGCAAAGUCUUGGAUGCGUGGACCGUCCGGGUCUUGAAGGCGGACUGUCCGCGAUCCACCAGUGGGGUCCGAAGUCUGACCACUUCGGACAUGUCAUGUUCCUUUGCACAGCGGACCGUCCGCAGUCCUGACCAGAGAAGACUGCUUUCGGGACAGUCCCUGGAUUAUAGUGCGGACCGUCGGACCUUGAUGAGCGGACAGUCCGCAGGUGCCAAAUAAGGUUUGGGCAGGGACUGUGUGGUUUUUGGGAUUUGUACUACAGACUGUCCGGAGGAUAAGUCCGGACAGUACUGUCUCCAGGUCUCGGACCGUCCGGCCUUGUAGGCGGACGGUCCGCCUGUGUUAACUGCUCUUGGUCAGAGGUCCGGGUGCUUCAAGUUGCCAGGUCGCGGACGGUCCGGCCAUGGUGGGCGGAUUGUCCGGACCUAACUUUUCUGACAGCUCUGACAGAUUUCAAACGGGGAAUAUAGUCGUUAUGUGUACGGCGGACUGUCCGGCCUUAGGGCGCGGACCGUCCGCGUGUGCGCAGAACAGGUGCUUUUUGCUCAUAACGGUUAGAAUUUAGUGGGGGACUAUAAAUAGAAGGGUACCUCGUGUGUGAGACCUCUCUUGGCCAUUCCUUGCAUACAUUGAGCUCAAUUGUGAUCCUCCAACUCACUCUCUCACACUCUUUGCUUGAGAUUGCAUUCUAGUGAGAGAUGGAGUGUUCCUAGUGCAUUUGCAUCCAUUGGUGAUUCUUGAGGCACUAGGUGGUACACCGAGCAAGCGUCAUUGGCUUGUUACUCUUGGAGGUUGCCGCCUCCUAGACGACUGUGAAUCAUCUAGGCCCCUUGGUUAUGUUUUGGUAAUUAAUGACAACUGCUUGUGGGCUAACGAUUCUUGGAGAAAUAAGAAUGGAAGGUUGGACCACAUAGAACAAGAAAUCUUGGAGAUUCAUAAGCAUUGGUUGUGGAUCAAGUGAAGGCAAAGGUAUAUCAUAGGUUUCGUUUUGCCGGUCUUGAGGAGUUUAGAGAAGAUACUUGACCGGAUUAGUAGGCUAGAUAGUCGUACUAUUAAGAGGGGUCAAUGACUUUGAUCUGUGUAAAACUUAGUGCCUCAUAGAGCAUCUAGUGGUUGCAUUUGCAUGAGGACUAACAGCGCUUCAAAUUUCAUGAGUUAAAACUUCCUUCAAAAGCUUGUUUGAAAAGUGCAAAGUCUUGGAUGCGUGGACCGUCCGGGUCUUGAAGGCGGACCGUCCGCGAUCCACCAGAGGGGUCCGAAGUCUGACCACUUCGGACCUAUUUUGUUCCUAUGCACUGCGGACCAUCCGGGCCUUAGGGCCGGACCGUCUGCAGUCCUGACCAGAGAAGGCUGCUUUCGGGACAGUCCCUGAAUUAUAGUACGGACCGUCCGGCUUUGAUGGGAGGACAGUCUCCAGGUGCCAAAUAUGGUUUGGGCAGGGACUGUGUGGUUUUUAGGAAUUGUACUACGGACUGUCCGGAGGAUAAGUACGGACAGUACUGUCUCAGGUCUCAGACCGUCCGGCCUUAUAGGCGGACGGUCCGCCCGUGUUAACUGGUCUUGGUCAGAGGUCCGGGUGCUUCAAGUUGCCAGGUCAUGGACGGUCCGGCCAUGGUGGGCGGACUGUCUGGACCUAACUUUUCUGAUAACUCUGACAGAUUUCAAACGGGAAUUAUAGCCGUUAUGCGUACGGUGGACCGUCCGGCCCUAGGGCGCGGACCGUCCGCGUGUGCGCAGAACAGGUCCUUUUUGCUCAUAACGGUUGGAAUUUGGUGGGGGACUAUAAAUAGAAGGGUAGCUCGUGUGUGAGACCUCUCUUAGCCAUUCCUUGCACACAUUGAGCUUAUUUGUGAUCCUCUAACUCACUCUCUCACACUCUUUGCUUGAGAUUGCAUUCUAGUGAGAGAUUGAGGGUUCCUAGUGCAUUUGCAUCAUUCGGUGAUUCUUGAGGCACUAGGUGGUACACCGAGCAAGCAUCAUCGGCUUGUUACUCUUGGAGGUUGCCGCCUCCUAGACGGCUCGGGUGAUUGUCUCUGUCGAGCUCUCUAAGAAGAUUGUGGAGAAGCCGCGGUGUUGAUUGUGAGGGGUUCGCGCCUACCUCGCCGUAGCGGCAAAGGUGACAUUAGUGGAAUCGAGGUAUUGAGUGAUUUCUUGUCCACUUGGCUCAAAGAUCAAGCCGUGUCUUGAUAGAGGAGCAAGUGAGAGCUUGAAGUCCACCUCAACGUGGAUUAGGGGUGAUCGGCAAAUCACCGAUACCACGGGAUAAAAUUCGGUGUCUUUACUUUCUUGCAUUACUUAUUGUCGUGCAAGUGAUUAGUGUUUUGCAUAUUGUUCUUCAAAUAUUCAAUCACCUUAGUUGAUUCUCAUAGAUUGUUUACUUGUUAUCACUAGAGAAUUUAUUCCUCUUGUUAUAUUGAUUAAAUUUCCCUAGUGUUUUUUAUUUUAGUCAAAACCGUCUAUUCACCCCCCUCUAGCCGGGGUCCUAGAUCCUACAAGUGGUAUCGGAGCCGGGGACUCCAUUGUUUGUGGAUCUAAUCAUCCCGGAGUGGGACAAAAUGGCUAGUAACAACAAUGUGCACAUUGGGAAGCCACCGCAUUUUGAUGGGAAUAACUAUGACUAUUGGAAAAUAAGAAUGUCAAUGCAUUUUAGAGCAAUGGGUGGAAAAAUUUGGCCAAUUGUCAGGGAUGGAUUUGUUGUGUUGAAAGAAGAUGAACCAUCCGUUAGUGACAAUGAGAAUAUCCUUACAAAUGAUCAAGCCAUGAAUGUCUUCUAUGAUGCUCUUGAUAUAAAUGAGUUCAAUCGCAUCAAGAAUCUCACAACCGCUCAUGAGAUUUGGAUUAAGCUAAUGGAAAUUCAUGAAGGAACUACAAUUGUGAAGAGUGCCAAACUAUAUGUGUGCAAAGGGAAGUUUGAGCAAUUUAUUAUGAAAGAAGAUGAGAGUGUAUCCGAUAUGUUCAACCGGUUAAAUGAGAUAGUGAAUGAACUCAAGGGACUUGGUUUCAAUGUACCGGAUGUGGAUUUCACUCAUAAGUUCCUUAGAUCACUUCCGGAGAAAUAUGAGACCAUUGUGACAAUGUUAGUAAGGAGAAAUUCUACAUUGCCAUGAAUUGCCCAAGCAAGAAGAAGAAGGGCAAAGAUGAAAGUGACAAGAAGAAAAAGAAAUUCUACAACAAGAAGAAAGAUGGCAAAGCCUACCUUGUUGAAUGGGACUCGGAUGAUAGCUCAGAUGAUGAUGAUGAUGACACCUCAUCUAAGCUUAAUGCCAGAAUUGCCAUCAAGGAAGCUCCCUCGCUCUUCUCAUCCCCCCAUUGUCUCAUGGCAAAGGGAGAUGCUAAGGUAAAAAUCAUCACCGAUCUAAAUGAUAUAAAUGAUGAUGAUGAUGUUGAUGAUGUUGAUGAUGAUGGCUAUUCAUAUGAUGAUCUUGUUAGAAUGUUGGGUGAGGCCGAUGACUACAUGCACAAAAAAAAGAAAAAUUUAAGACCUUGAAGAUAUUGUAUAAAAACCUCCAAGUGUCUUUUGAGGAGCUCAAGACCUCUCACAAUGACCUAAAAGAAAAUUGUGAGAAGCUUGCGGAUGCUCAAAAAUCAUCUAUUAUGCAUGAAGUUGUGGUGGUCGCUAAGGAUGUUGGAGUCGCUUGUGACUUACUUGAUAGUCUUACAAGUGAACCACCACCUACUAACUCUAUUUGUGAUAAAUGCAAAAUUUCUCUCAAUGAUAAUAUUGCUCUUGAUGAAUCAAAAAACAUUGUUGAGAAUGAAGUGUUAGUAGAUAGAGUAAAUACUCUAACUCAUGACCUAGAAAAGGCAUAUGGUGGAAAGGCUAAAUUGGAUUUCAUAUUGGGAAGUCAACGGUGCUCACUUAACCGUGAAGGUCUUGGAUAUGUUCCCAAGAAAGGAAAGAAUGCUUUUAUAAAGCAAAAGACAUUGUUUGUGAAAGAAUGUGACAAAGUGUGUCACAAGUGUCACAAGAAGGGACAUGUUAAGAAAAAUUGUCCUAAGCUCAAAAAUGUAUCCUCCACUUGUUUUGAGCAUUGUUAUGUUCUUUCUCAUAAUGCAAAAGGUGUUCAUGCUAAAUUUAUUGGUACUUCAAUUGUUGGAAACAAAAAUAAAGCUAUUUGGGUGCCAAAGACCUUGGUCACUAACAUCCAAGGACCCAAGCAAGUUUGGGUACCUAAAAGAGAUUAAUUUCCUUUUGUAGGUGAACUACAAGGCGAGAGGGAAUCAUUGGGUGUUAGAUAGUGGAUGCACUCAACACAUGACAGGAGAUAUGAAAAUGUUCACCCAAAUGAGUGAGGAAGAUUGCUCAAAUUAUGAUAGUAUCACAUUUGGAGAUAAUCGCAAAGGAAAGGUUAAAGGAUUGGGUAAAAUUGCUAUUUUAAAUGAUCAUUCCAUAUCAAAUGUGCUCUUGGUUGAGUCUUUGAAUUUUAAUUUACUAUUCGUAGCUCAAUUAUGUGAUUUAGGAUUUAGUUGCAAUUUCACGGUUGAAGAUGUUAUUAUCUCUAGUGUUGAUGGUAGCAAUCUUAAGUUUAAAGGUUUUAGACAUGAAAAUCUUUAUCUUGUUGAUUUCUCAUCUAAUGAGACAAAGCUCACAACUUGCUUAUUCUCGAUACCUUCACUAGGUUGGUUAUGGCAUAGAAGACUUGGUCAUGUUGGAAUGAAGCAACUCAAUCGGUUAACCAAGCAUGACUUAGUUCGUGGCUUAAAAGAUGUGAAGUUUGAGAAGAACAAAUUGUGUAACUCUUGUCAAGCCGGGAAGCAAGUGGCAAAUACUCAUCCAAAUAAAAGUCAAAUGUCCGCUCAUCGACCUUUGGAAUUACUUCACAUGGAUUUAUUUGGGCCCACAUCUUUUGUGAGUAUUGGUGGUAAUUCUUAUUGUCUUGUGAUUGCUGAUGAUUGUUCAAGAUUCACUUGGGUUUAUUUUCUUCGAGAUAAAUCUAAUGUGUUUGAAACAUUCAAGUCAUUUGCUAUAUUGGCUCAAAAUCAAUUUGAUUUUGAUAUCAAGAAAGUUAGAAGUGACAAUGGGUCGGAAUUCAAAAAUGCAAGAAUUGAUGAAUAUUGUGAUGACAAGGGUAUUAAACAUGAAUUCUCUUCCAAAUAUACCCCGGAACAAAAUGGUAUUGUUGAAAGAAAGAAUAGGACUCUCAUUGACAUGGCUAGGUCUAUGUUAGCGGAAUAUAAUAUAUCAGAUUCUUAUUGGGCCGAGACAAUAAACACUGCUUGUCAUUCAUCAAAUAGACUAUAUUGUCACAAGCUUUUAAAGAAAACUCCAUAUGAAUUGCUCAUUGGUAGAAAGCCAAAUAUCUCAUAUUUUAGGGUAUUCGGUUGCAAAUGUUAUAUUUUGAGAAAGGGAAGCCGGCUUUCUAAAUUUGAGAAGAAAUGUGAUGAGGGUUUUCUUCUUGGAUAUUCAUCAAAUAGUAAGGCUUAUAGAGUCUUCAACAAAACUCAUGGUAUUAUUGAAGAAGCAUAUGAUGUUGAGUUUGAUGAAACAAAUGGGUCUCAAGAUGAGAGUGAUAAUCUUGAUGAUGUUGGUGGAACUCAAUUGAUAAAUGCAAUGAAAACAAUGGCCAUUGGUGAAAUAAAGCCAAAGGAAGAUGAUGAUGAAAAUAGUGUGGUUGUCAUUCCUUCUUCUUCAACUCUAAAUGAAGAAGAUCACCAAAGCCAACAAAAUGAUGAAAAUAUGGAUACUCAUGAUCAAGGUACUUCAAGACAUUUGGUUCCUCCUAAUGCUUCAACUAGCAAUUAUCAAACGGUAUCAAGAAUUCAUCAUUCUAUUGUGAAGGAUCACCCGGUUGAUCAAAUUGUGGGUGAUAUUAGUAAGGGUGUUCAAACUCGCUCUUGCAUAGCUUCAUUUUGUGAACAUUUCUCUUUUGUAUCUUGUAUGGAACCUAACCGUGUAGAUGAAUCUCUACUUGAUGUUGAUUGGGUGAAUGCAAUGCAUGAAGAAUUAAAUAACUUCGCUCGAAAUGAAGUUUGGGAGCUUGUUGAGAGACCAAAGAACCACAAUGUUAUUGGUACAAAAUGGGUGUUUCACAACAAGCACAAUGAAGAUGGUGUAGUAGUAAGAAAUAAGGCAAGAUUAGUGGCACAAGGAUAUACUCAAAUUGAGGGAUUAGAUUUUGGGGAGACUUUUUGCUCCCGUGGCAAGAUUAGAAGCAAUCCAGAUUCUUCUUGCUUAUGCUUGUGCACAUAAUAUCAAGCUCUACCAAAUGGAUGUAAAGAGUGCUUUUCUAAAUGGUAAGAUUAGUGAACUAGUGUAUGUUGAACAACCUCCCGGUUUUGAGGACCCCAAAAGACCUAAACAUGUGUUCAAGCUUUCUAAAGCUCUCUAUGGGCUUAAGCAAGCUCCACGCGCUUGGUAUGAAAGGCUUAGGGAUUUCUUGCUUUCCAAAGACUUUAAAAUUAGGAAGGUUGACACUACUCUAUUCACUAAAAGAAUUGGCAAAGACUUAUUUGUUUGUCAAAUCUAUGUUGAUGAUAUUAUUUUUGGAUCUACUAAUGUAUUAUUUUGUGAGGAAUUUGGAAAAAUGAUGUCGAAAGAAUUUGAAAUGUCUAUGAUAGGAGAAUUGAGCUUCUUUCUUGGUCUUCAAAUCAAACAAUUGAAAGAUGGAAUUUUUAUAAGUCAAUCAAAAUAUUUGAAGGACAUGCUCAAGAAGUUUGGUUUAGAAAAUGCAAAGCCUAUCAAGACUCCAAUGGCAACAAAUGGUCAUCUAGAUAGAUGAAGGAGGUACUAUGGUUGAUCAAAAACUUUAUCGUUCAAUAAUUGGUAGUUUGCUUUAUAUUACCGCAUCUAGCUAGGCCCGAUGUUAUGUUUAGUGUGUGCAUGUGUGCUCGAUUUCAAGCUUCACCUAGAGAGAUUCACUUGAAGGUCGCAAAAAGAAUCCUAAGAUAUUUGAAGUAUACUCCCAAUAUUGGUCUAUGGUAUCCCAAAGGUGCUCAAUUUGAAUUAAUUGGAUAUUCGGACUCGGACUAUGUGGGGUGCAAAGUUGAUAGAAAAAGCACCUCCGGUUGUUGUCAAUUUCUUGGUAGAUCUCUUGUUUCAUGGUCUUCUAAAAAACAAAAUUCGGUUGCUCUCUCUACCGCCGAGGCGGAAUAUAUAUCGGCCGCAAAUUGUUGUGCUCAACUAUUAUGGAUGAAACAAACUCUAUUGGAUUAUGGGAUUAUUUUCAAGAAUGUGCCUCUCAUGUGUGAUAAAGAGAGUGCGGUAAAAUUGGCUACAAAUCUGGUCCAACACUCAAGAACUAAGCAUAUUGAUAUACGGCAUCACUUCUUAAGGGAUCAUGUUGGAAAGGGAGAUAUCUCUAUUUAUUCCAUUGGUACGGAUGAUCAAUUAGCCGACAUUUUUACAAAGCCAUUGGAUGAAACGAGAUUUUGUUCUCUAAGAAGUGAAAUGAAUGUGAUCGAUCUCUCAAAUGUGGCUUGAAGUUGAUCGCACAUGUGUAGUAUUGCAUUUCGGUUCUAAAUAUGCUCUCUACGCUAUUUAUUUGGUAUUUUGAUGCAUUUUUAAUCUUAAAUUGAUCUAAGUAGUUUGAUAUGAAAAAUUUGCAUCACUCAAUUACAUAAUAUGUAUAUGCAUGCAUACUAACCCUUGGAUUGGUCGAAAUAUCCAUAUAUGAGCACCAAUUCGGAUUUGAAAUUCAAAAUCAGAACGUGAACAGACAUUGGAAAACUGCGUAUCAGGCCGCGGACCGUCCGCCCAUGGACCGCAGACCGUCCGCCGUAUCAGGAACUAGACAGUCCGGUUAGGAACGCAAACAGUCUAAAUUCAUCAGGCCGCGGACCGUCCGCCGCCCCUGCGCGGACCGUCCGCGACAGGCACUAAAAGUCGGGCAGAGGCAGCAUACUUGUUAUUUCCACUCUUUGCAACUCCUCUCUCGCUCUCUACUCGCCAAAAAGGUCUCCUUUGUCGAUUGUGCGCGGACGGAGAAGGGAAGUUACGCACAGACAGUCCGACAGCUUGAGAAAAGUUCAACCAACAUGUCGUCAUCACGGUAUUUCAUAGUCUUAUGGAUUUCAUCAAAUCUCUUCAAUUUGGGAUUAUUUGGAUUUUCUCUCUGAUCUAGAAUUGAGCAAUAGUUUUACAAAUCUGAUUGGUGGGAUUGUUAGUGCUACUCUCCAUGAAUGUUGUGCAAAAAUUUGAACGCAUUUGGAUGGAUAUUCUCUGCGGCUUCAUCACUUCAACGAUUGAGGCGACUAGGGUUCUAGGGAGUCGCCCCUGGCCGGUCGCGGACCGUCCGCCUAGUGGGCGCGGACCGUCCGGACCUGUGGCACGGACAGUCUGGCCCCCUAGCACGGACAGUCCGGACCCUGCCAGAGCAAUGCAGUUCUUUUCUCUUUGAUUGUGGUGAUUGGUAUCAACUAUUCAUCUCUGUAUGUAUGUCACAUUUAUUGUAGUGGUUUGAGUGGUCUCCGCAAGAAGCUUGCAGGUCGCUUCAAAUCAAAGCGCCCUCGUGCAGAUGAUGCUGACUACACUCCAACUACUGAUUCAGAGGCCCAAUCUUCAGCUAGGGGCACUGAAUCUAUGGACACGGAAGACAUUCCUCAUAUACAUCCUGACUACCCAAUUGAUAUCACAUGAUGGAAAUUUUCAAAGAGGAGGUUUUCUAUGGCUGAAUACUGCUCAAGGCGCACUGUGAAUCAAUACUCUCUGCCAUCUGACACCAAUGUUCAAUUUUUCCAUACUCAGCUCCAAUUUGAUGUUUUUUGGGGCACAUUGAUGGAUACAAAUUUUCAUAAACAUCAGGUAAUUGAUUGGUCCUUCAUGCUGGGACAAUCAGUCAUGGAGGAUCUGAUUCCUAAAUUUGAGACAUGUGGUCUAUAUCAGUUUAUGGGGCAGAGAACUGACUUCAGUGAGAUGGCAGUCAAGCAAUUCCUGGCCACAGCACAAAUUGAUAUAGAAGAGGAAUCCAUCACUUGGAUGACUGGAUUCAAGAGAUACUCUGCAACUUUUGUUGAUUUUGCUGCUGCCAACAGUCUGAAUUAUGGCAUCAUUUCAGCUGGGCUAGAUCUCUACACUGAAGAUAAUUUUGAGGACUUUGUGCAAUUCUAUGAGCCAGCAAGGUUGGGCAUACCUAGGAGGUUUGGAGAGACAACAGGACUGAGGCAUCAUCCUGCUGUGAUCAACAAGAUUGCAAGAGUCACUAUUCUUCCCAAGAGUGGGGAUAAGGGCAAAAUUCGAGACAAAUUUUGGAACAUUAUCCACCAUGUCAUGAAUGUUGAGGUAAUGAAUAUUGUGCUCUUCAUGAUGAGACAACUCAAUGAUUUGAAAAUGGAUAAAAACCAGAACCUAGCCUAUGCGCCUUAUAUUAUGGCUCUCAUCAAAGCAAAGACAAGAUUUGAGGGGCCCUGCGAGAUAGUUCAUACACCGUUCAGACCCUUUAAGAAUGAAAUUGGGUUCCUCACCAGGCCUCUCACUCCCUUCCCAGAUGAUGAGGAAGACCCUGGUUAUGAUGCAGCAGCAGCUCAUGAUGCUGAGGCAGAGCAGAUGCCUCCUCCUCCACCUCCUCCUCAGCCUCAGCAGUAUUGGCAGCCUGGUCCAGGCUACUUUGACCCAUAUUUUCAAAAUAUGCAGCAAGGGCUUCAGACCCAUCUUGAUACUCGCUUUGAGGGAAUGAUGACACAUAUGGAUCAAUGUCUGGAUGUCAUGCAAUCCAGUUUUGACAGUAACUGGGAUGCGCUCAACGCUGAGUAUUCUGGAUUUCGUGAUCACAUUCAAACUAAUGUCACUGAUCCUAUCAUGACCAGACUUAACAAUAUGCAGUAGAGUUUUCAGGAUAACAUGGGAGCUCUGUCUAAUCAAUUUGACAACCUCUCUACCAAUGACAGCAUGCAUGAGAUCAGUCAGAGGCAGCAACAACUCCAGCAAGACUUUGGCCAGUUCUCCUCUCUUUUUGACACCUUCAGCACUCACUACUAUAACAUGCAUCCUCCACCAAGUGAUCAGUGAAGCCUCUCCUUUGUGGCAAUUGAUGCCAAAGGGGGAGAGAAGUGAAGAAAGAGAAGAGCAGUUGUCACAUUCAGGGGGAGUUGGUCUAUGUGGAAAUUGAGACCGUGCAUGUGCAUGCUUACCAAUUUAUGUCGCAUGCACUAUUUUAUGUCUUAUGUACUUGGUACUGGCUACUACUAUUUGAACUUUGAACUCUAUGUCUUAUGCCUGUGGACAAUUAUUUGUAAUAUUCUGUGGGUUGAACUAUGUUUAGUUCAAAUUACUCUGUGUAUGGUUAAUCGAGGAGUGAUUAUAAUUGCUGCGCUUACUUUACAUAUCAUCUCUUGUAUGCGUAGAUAACCAUGACUGUAGGAAGGUCUCCAUCAAAACUCCGAUCUAUCAUGUGUGUUAUAUCUUCAGCUUGAAAUAAUCCUGCACACACAUAGGGGGAGCCUUCCUUACAUUCUGAGUUUCAAUUGGGAUUUAUCUAUCUCUCGGACAGAACUUCAAAUCAAGAUAAGUCCUACGAAACUCAUCUUCAAAAUCCAUCUUAUACCUAAGGUAUGAGCGAGAUUUGGAAAAACUAAACUUCUCUUUAAUAUAUUAUGUAGUGUUGUCAUCAAUUACCAAAAGGGGAAGAUUGUGAAUCAUCUAGGCCCCUUGGUUAUGUUUUGGUAAUUAAUGACAACUGCUUGUGGGCUAACGAUUCUUGGAGAAAUAAGAAUGCAGGGUUGGACCACAUAAAACAGGAAAUCUUGGAGAUUCAUAAGCAUUGGUUGUGGAUCAAGUGAAGGCAAAGGUAUAUCAUAGGUUUCGUUUUGCCGGUCUUGAGGAGUUUAGAGAAGAUACUUGACCGGAUUAGUAGGCUAGAUAGCCGUACUAUUAAGAGGGGUCAAUGACUUUGAUCUGUGUAAAACUUAGUGCCUCAUAGAGCAUCUAGUGGUUGCAUUUGCAUGAGGACUAACGACGCUUCAAAUUUCAUGAGUUAAAACUUCCUUCAAAAGCUUGUUUGAAAAGUGCAAAGUCUUGGAUGCGCGGACCGUCCGGGUCUUGAAGGCGGACCGUCCGCGAUCCACCAGAGGGGUCCGAAGUCUGACCACUUCGGACCUAUUUUGUUCCUUUGCACUGUGGACCGUCCGGGCCUUAGGGCCGGACCGUCCGCAGUCCUGACCAGAGAAGGCUGCUUUCGGGACAGUCCCUGAAUUAUAGUGCGGACCGUCCGACUUUGAUGGGCGGACAGUCCGCAGGUGCCAAAUAUGGUUUGGGCAGGGACUGUGUGGUUUUUAGGAAUUGUACUACAGACUGUCCGGAGGAUAAGUCCGGACAGUACUGUCUCAGGUCUCGGACCGUCCGGCCUUAUAGGCGGACGGUCCGCCCGUGUUAACUGGUCUUGGUCAGAGGUCCGGGUGCUUCAAGUUGCCAGGUCACGGACGGUCCGGCCAUGGUGGGCGAACUGUCUAGACCUAACUUUUCUGACAACUCUGAUAGAUUUCAAACGGGAAUUAUAGCCGUUAUGCGUACGGCGGACUGUCCGUCCCUAGGGCGCGGACCGUCCGCGUGUGCGCCGAACAGGUCCUUUCUGCUCAUAACGGUUGGAAUUUGGUGGGGGACUAUAAAUACAAGGGUAGCUCGUGUGUGAGACCUCUCUUAGCCAUUCCUUGCACACAUUGAGCUCAUUUGUGAUCCUCUAACUCACUCUCUCACACUCUUUGCUUGAGAUUGCAUUCUAGUGAGAGAUUGAGGGUUCCUAGUGCAUUUGCAUCAUUCGGUGAUUCUUGAGGCACUAGGUGGUAUACCGAGCAAGCGUCAUUGGCUUGUUACUCUUGGAGGUUGCCGCCUCCUAGACGGCUCGGGUGAUUGUCUCCGUCGAGCUCUCCAAGAAGAUUGUGGAGAAGCCGGGGUGUUGAUUGUGAGGGGUUCGCGCCUACCUCGCCGGAGCGGCAAAGGUGACAUUAGUGGAAUCGAGGUAUUGAGUGAUUUCUUGUCCACUUGGCUCAAAGAUCAAGCCGUGUCUUGAUAGAGGAGCAAGUGAGAGCUUGAAGUCCACCUCAACGUGGAUUAGGGGUGAUCGGCAAAUCACCGAUACCACGGGAUAAAAUUCGGUGUCUUUACUUUCUUGCAUUACUUAUUGUCGUGCAAGUGAUUAGUGUUUUGCAUAUUGUUCUUCAAGUAUUCAAUCACCUUAGUUGAUUCUCAUAGAUUGUUUACUUGUUAUCACUAGAGAAUUUAUUCCUCUUGUUAUAUUGAUUAAAUUUCCCUAGUGUUUUUGAUUUCAGUCAAAACCGUCUAUUCACCCCCCCUCUAGCCAGUGUCCUAGAUCCUACAACGGCUCGGGUGAUUGUCUCCGUCGAGCUCACCAAGAAGAUUGUGGAGAAGCCGCGGUGUUGAUUGUGAGGGGUUCGCGCCUACCUCGCCGGAGCGGCAAAGGUGACAUUAGUGGAAUCGAGGUAUUGAGUGAUUUCUUGUCCACUUGGCUCAAAGAUCAAGCUGUGUCUUGAUAAAGGAGCAAGUGAGAGCUUGAAGUCCACCUCAACGUGGAUUAGGGGUGAUCGGCAAAUCACCGAUACCACGGGAUAAAAUUCAGUGUCUUUACUUUCUUGCAUUACUUAUUGUCGUGCAAGUGAUUAGUGUUUUGCAUAUUGUUCUUCAAGUAUUCAAUCACCUUAGUUGAUUCUCAUAGAUUGUUUACUUGUUAUCACUAGAGAAUUUAUACCUUUUUUAUAUUGAUUAAAUUUCCCUAGUUUUUUUAUUUUAGUCAAAACCGUCUAUUCACCCCCCUCUAGCCGGUGUCCUAGAUCCUACAAGUGGUAUCGGAGCCAAGGACUCCAUUGUUUGUGGAUCUAAUCAUCCCGGAGUAGGACAAAAUGGCUAGUAACAACAAUGUGCACAUUGGGAAGCCACCGCAUUUUGAUGGAAAUAACUAUGACUAUUGGAAAAUAAGAAUGUCAAUGCAUCUUAGAGCAAUGGGUGGAAAAAUUUGGCCAAUUGUCAGGGAUGGAUUUGUUGUGUUGAAAGAAGAUGAACCAUCCAUUAGUGACAAUGAGAAUAUCCUUACAAAUGAUCAAGCCAUGAAUGUAUUCUAUGAUGCUCUUGAUAUAAAUGAGUUCAAUCGCAUCAAGAAUCUCACAACCGCUCAUGAGAUUUGGAUUAAGCUAAUGGGAAUUCAUGAAGGAACUACAAUUGUGAAGAGUGCCAAGCUAUAUGUGUGCAAAGGGAAGUUUGAGCAGUUUAUUAUGAAAGAAGAUGAGAGUGUAUCCGAUAUGUUCAACCGGUUAAAUGAGAUAGUGAAUGAACUCAAGGGACUUGGUUUUAAUGUACCGGAUGUGGAUUUCACUCAUAAGUUCCUUAGAUCACUUCCGGAGAAAUAUGAGACCAUUGUGACAAUGUUAGUAAGGAGUGAUCUAUCUACAACUUAUCCAACCGAAGUAUUGAGGGAAAUUCUUACUCAAGAUAUAUUCAAGAAGUCUCAAGCCGAUACUUUAAGUUUGGCAAAGAAAGUGAAAAAUGAAUCAAUAGCUCUUAAAGCUAAAGCCUCUAAGGAAAUUGAAAAAGAAGAUAGCAAUGAUGAAGAAAAUGAAAGUGAGAGUGAUGGUGAUAUGGCUCUAUUUGUAAGGAAAUUCAAUAAAUUCAUGAAGAUGAAGAGAGGUCAACCUAGAAGAGGUCAAACAUUAAGAAGAAAUGAUUUCAAUGAUAGAAAGUGUUUUGAGUGUGGGGAACCCGGUCACAUUGCCAUGAAUUGCCCUACCAAGAAGAAGAAGGGCAAGGAUGAAAGUGAUAAGAAGAAAAAGAAAUUAUACAACAAAAAGAAAGAUGACAAAGCCUACCUAGUUGAAUGGGACUCGGAUGAUGAUGAUGAUGACACCUCAUCCAAGCUCAAUGCCGGAAUUGCCAUCAAGGAAGCUCCCUCACUCUUCUCAUCCCCCCAUUGUCUCAUGGCAAAGGGAGAAGCUAAGGUAAAAAUCAUCACCGAUAUCAGUAGCGGACCCAGCUGCUAGACUUAGGGUGUGCCAGGAAAAAUAUAAAAAAAAGAAACAAAAAAUAGACAUCAAUGAGGCUCGAUCCUUGACUGUCAAGUUCAAAAGAUAGUACUUACACCACUAUGCUAAGUAACCUUGUAUGAUCUUAGGGUGUGCCGUGGCCCAUAUGGACCACCCGCUGGGUCCGCCCCUGCCGAUAUUAAUGAUAUAAAUGAUGAUGAUGAUGUUGAUGAUGUUGAUGAUGAUGGCUAUUCAUAUGAUGAUCUUGUUAGAAUGUUAGGUGAGGCCGAUGACUACAUGCACAAAGAAAAAUAAAAAUUUAAGACCUUGAAGGAAUUGUAUAAAAACCUCCAAGUGUCUUUUGAGGAGCUCAAGACCUCUCACAAUGAUCUAAAAGAAAAUUGUGAGAAGCUUGUGGAUGCUCAAAAAUCAUCUAUUGUGCAUGAAGUUGUGGUGGUCACUGAGGAUGUUGGAAUCACUUAUGACUUACUUGAUAGUCUUACAAGUGAACCACUACCUACUAACACUAUUUGUGAUAAAUGCAAAAUUUCUCUCAUGAAUGAUAAUAUUGCUCUUGAUGAAUCAAAGAUCAUUGUUGAGAAUGAAAUGUUAGUAGAUAGAGUAAAUGCUCUAACUCAUGACCUAGAAAAGGCAUAUGGUGGAAAGGCUAAAUUGGAUUUCAUAUUGGGAAGUCAACGGUGCUCACUUAACCGUGAGGGUCUUGGAUAUGUUCCCAAGAAAGGAAAGAAUGCUUUUAUAAAGUAAAAGACAUUGUUUGUGAAAGGAUGUGACAAAGUGUGUCACAAGUGUCACAAGAAGGGACAUGUUAAGAAAAAUUGUCCUAAGCUCAAAAAUGUAUCAUCCACUUGUUUUGAGCAUUGUUAUGUUCUUUCUCAUAAUGCAAAAGGUGUUCAUGCUAGAUUUGUUGGUACUUCAAUUGUUGGAAACAAAAAGAAAGCUAUUUUGGUGCCAAAGACCUUGGUCACUAACAUCCAAGGACCCAAGCAAGUUUGGGUACCUAAAAGAGAUUGAUUUCCUUUUGUAGGUGAACUACAAGGCGGGAGGGAAUCAUUGGGUGUUAGAUAGUGGAUGCACUCAACACAUGACCGGAGAUAUGAAAAUGUUGCAAUUUCAUGGUUGAUGAUGUUAUGACCGGUUGAUGAUGUAUAUGUGGGUGUUAGAUAGUGGAUGCACUCAACAAAAGAAAGCUAUUUUGGUGCCAAAGACCUUGGUCACUAACAUCCAAGGACCCAAGCAAGUUUGGGUACCUAAAAGAGAUUGAUUUCCUUUUGUAGGUGAACUACAAGGUGGGAGGGAAUCAUUGGGUGUUAGAUAGUGGAUGCACUCAACACAUGACCGGAGAUAUGAAAAUGUUGCAAUUUACUAUCCGUAGCUCAAUUAUGUGAUUUAGGAUUUAGUUGCAAUUUCACGGUUGAUGAUGUUAUUAUCUCUAGUGUUGAUAGUAGCAAUCUUAAGUUUAAAGGUUUUAGACAUGAAAAUCUUUAUCUUGUUGAUUUCUCAUCUAGUGAGGCAAAGCUCACAACUUGCUUAUUCUCAAAGGCUUCACUAGGUUGGUUAUGGCAUAGAAGACUUGGUCAUGUUGGAAUGAAGCAACUCAAUCGGUUAACCAAGCAUGACUUAGUUCGGGGCUUGAAAGAUGUGAAGUUUGAGAAGAACAAAUUGUGUGGCUCUUGUCAAGCCGGGAAGCAAGUGGCUAAUACUCAUCCAAAUAAAAGUCAAAUGUCCACUCAUCGACCUUUGGAAUUACUUCACAUGGAUUUAUUUGGGCCCACAUCAUUUGUGAGUAUUGGUGGUAAUUCCUAUUGUCUUGUGAUUGUGGAUGAUUAUUCAAGAUUCACUUGGGUUUAUUUUCUUCGAGAUAAAUCUAAUGUGUUUGAAACAUUCAAGUCAUUUGCUAUAUUGGCUCAAAAUCAAUUUGAUUUUGAUAUCAAGAAAGUUAGAAGUGAUAAUGGGUCUGAAUUCAAAAAUGCAAGAAUUGAUGAAUAUUGUGAUGAUAAGGGUAUUAAACAUGAAUUAUCUUCCAAAUAUACCCCGGAACAAAAUGGUAAUGUUGAAAGAAAGAAUAGGACUCUCAUUGAUAUGGCUAGGUCUAUGUUAGUGGAAUAUAAUGUAUCAGAUUCUUAUUGGGACGAGGGAAUAAACACCGCUUGUCAUUCAUCAAAUAGACUAUAUUGUCACAAGCUUUUGAAGAAAACUCCCUAUGAAUUGCUCAUUGGUAGAAAGCCAAAUAUCUCAUAUUUUAGGGUAUUCGGUUGUAAAUGUUAUAUUUUGAGAAAGGGAAGCCGACUUUCUAAAUUUGAGAAGAAAUGUGAUGACGGUUUUCUUCUUGGAUAUUCAUCAAAUAGUAAGGCUUAUAGAGUCUUCAAUAAAACUCAUGGUAUUAUUGAAUAAGCAUAUGAUGUUGAGUUUGAUGAAACAAAUGGGUCUCAAGAUGAAAGUGACAAUCUUGAUGAUGUUGGUGGAACUCAAUUGAAAAAUGCAAUGAAAACAAUGGCCAUUGGUGAAAUAAAGCCAAAGGAAGAUGAUGAUGAAAAUAGUGUGGUUGUCAUUCCUUCAUCUUCAACUGUAAAUGAAGAAGAUCACCAAAGCCAACAAAUGAUGAAAUUAUGGAUACUCAUGAUCAAGGUACUUCAAGACAUUUGGUUCCUCCUAAUGCUUCAACUAGCAAUUAUCAAACGGUAUCAAGAAUUCAUCAUUCUAUUGUGAAGGAUCACCCGGUUGAUCAAAUUGUGGGUGAUAUUAGUAAGGGUGUUCAAACUUGCUCUCGCAUAGCUUCAUUUUGUGAACAUUUCUCUUUUGUAUCUUGUAUGGAACCUAACCUUGUAGAUGAAGCUCUACUUGAUGUUGAUUGGGUGAAUGCAAUGCAUGAAGAAUUAAAUAACUUCACUCGAAAUGAAGUUUGGGAGCUUGUUGAGAGACCAAAGAACCACAAUGUUAUUGGUACAAAAUGGGUGUUUCGCAACAAGCACAAUGAAGAUGGUGUAGUAGUAAGAAACAAGGCAAGAUUAGUUGCAUAAGGAUAUACUCAAAUUGAGGGAUUGGAUUUUGGGGAGACAUUUGCUCCCGUGGCAAGAUUAGAAGCAAUCCGGAUUCUUCUUGCUUAUGCUUGUGCACAUAAUAUCAAGCUCUACCAAAUGGAUGUAAAGAGUGUCUUUCUAAAUGGUAAGAUUAGUGAACUAGUGUAUGUUGAACAACCUCCCGGUUUUGAGGACCCAAAAGAUCUAACCAUGUGUUCAAGUUUUCUAAAGCUCUCUAUGGGCUUAAGCAAGCUCCACACGCUUGGUAUGAAAGGCUUAGGGAUUUCUUGCUUUCCAAAGACUUUAAAAUUGGGAAGGUUGACACUACUCUAUUCACUAAAAGAAUUGGCCAAGACUUAUUUGUUUGUCAAAUUUAUGUUAAUGAUAUGAUUUUUGGAUCUACUAAUGAAUUAUUUUGUGAGGAAUUUGGAAAAAUGAUGUCAAAAGAAUUUGAAAUGUCUAUGAUAGGAGAAUUGAGCUUCUUUCUUGGUCUUCAAAUCAAACAAUUGAAAGAUGGAUUUUUUAUAAGUCAAUCAAAAUAUUUGAAGGACAUGCUCAAGAAGUUUGGCUUAGAAAAUGCAAAGCCUAUCAAGACUCCUAUGGCAACAAAUGGUCAUCUAGACUAAGAUGAAGGAGGUACUAUGGUUGAUCAAAAACUUUAUCAUUCAAUAAUUGGUUGUUUACUUUAUAUUACCGCAUCUAGGCCCGAUUUAUGUUUAGUGUUUGCAUGUGUGCUCGAUUUCAAGCUUCACCUAGAGAGAUUCACUUGAAGGCCGCAAAAAGAAUUCUAAGAUAUUUGAAGUAUACUCCCAAUAUUGGUCUAUGGUAUCCCAAAGGUGCUCAAUUUGAAUUAAUUGGAUAUUCGGACUCGGACUAUGCGGGGUGCAAAGUUGAUAGAAAAAGCACAUCCGGUUGUUGUCAAUUUCUUGGUAGAUCUCUUGUUUCAUGGUCCUCUAAAAAAAUAAAAUUCGGUUGCUCAACUAUAUAUCGGCCGGAAAUUGUUGUGCUCAACUAUUAUGGAUGAAACAAACUCUAUUGGAUUAUGGAAAUAUUUUCAAGAAUGUGCCUCUCAUGUGUGAUAAUGAGAGUGCGGUAAAAUUGGCUACAAAUCCGGUCCAACACUCAAGAACUAUGCAUAUUGAUAUACGACAUCACUUCUUAAGGGAUCAUGUUGGAAAGGGAGAUAUCUCUAUUUAUUCCAUUAGUAUAGAUGAUCAAUUAGCCGACAUUUUUACAAAGCCAUUGGAUGAAACGAGAUUUUAUACUCUAAGAAGUGAAAUGAAUGUAAUCGAUCUCUCAAAUGUGGCUUGAAGUUGAUCGCACAUGUGUAGUAUUGCAUUUCGGCUCUAAAUAUACUCUCUACGCUAUUUAUUUGGAUUUUUGAUGAAUUUUUCAUUUUAAAUUGAUCUAAGUAGUUUGAUAUGAAAAAAUUGCAUUCCUCAAUUACAUGAUGUGUUUAUGCAUGCAUACUAACCCUUGGAUUGGUCGAAAUGUCCAUAUAUGAGCAUCAAUUCAGAUUUGAAAUUCAAAAUUAGAAAGUGGACAGAAUUUGGAAAACUGAGUAUCAGGCCGCGGACCGUCCGCCCAUGGACCGCGGACCGUCCGCAGUAUCAGGAACUGGACAGUCCGGUCAGAAGUGCAGACAGUCUGAAUGCAUUAGGGCGCGGAUCGUCUGCCAACCCUGCGCGGACCGUCCGCGACAGGCAGUAAAGCCGGGCAGAGGCAGCAAACUUGUCAUUUCUGCUCAUUGCAUCUCCUCUCUCGCUCCCCUAUCGCCAAAAAGGUCACUUUCGUCGAUUGUGCGCGGAUGGAGAAGAGAAGUUGCGCACGGACAGUCCGCAAGCUUGUGGAAAAGUUCAACCAACAUGUCGUCAUCCUGGUAUUUCAUAAUCUUAUGGAUUUCAUCAAAUCUCUUCAACUUUGGGAUUAUUCGGAUUUCCUCUCUGAUCUAGAAUUGAACAAUAGUUUUACAAAUCUGAUUGGUGGAAUUAUUAGUGCUACUCAUUAUGAGCGUUGUGCAAAAAUUUGAUUGCGUUUGGAUGGAUAUUUUCUGCGGAAUCGACAUUUCAAUGAUUGAGGCGACUAGGGUUCUAGAGAGAGUCGCCCCUGGCCGGUCGCGGACCGUCCGCCUGGUGAGCGCGGACCGUCCGGACCUGUGGCGCGGACAGUCCGGCUCCCUAGCGCGGACAGUCCGGACCCUGACAGAGCAUUGCACUUCUUUUCUCUAUGAUUGUGGCGAUUGGUAUCAACUAUUCAUCUAUGGAUGUUUGUCAUAUUUAUUGCAGUGGUCUGGAUGGUCUUCGCAAGAAGCUUGCAUGUCGCUUCCAAUCAAAGCGCCCUCGUGCAGACGAUGCUGACUACACUCCAACCACUAAUUCAGAGGCCCAAUCUUCAGCUGAGGGCAGUGAAUCUAUGGACACAGAAGACAUUCCUCAUACACAUCCUGACUACCCAAUUGACAUCACAGGAUGGACAUUUCCAAAGAGGAGGUUUUCUAUGGCUGAAUACUGCUCAAGGAGAACUGUGAAUCAAUAUACUCUGCCAUCUGACACAAAUGUUCAAUUCUUCCACACUCAGCUCCAAUUUGAUGUUUUUUGGGGCACAUUGAUGGAUACCAACUUUCACAAACAUCAGGUGAUUGAUUGCACUUUCAUGCUAGGACAAUCAGUUAUGGAGGACCUGAUUCCUAAGUUUGAGACAUGUGGUCUGUAUCAGUUUAUGGGGCAGAGAACUGAUUUCAGUGAGAUGGCAGUCAAGCAAUUCCUAGCCACAACAGAAAUUGAUAUAGAAGAGGAAUCCAUCACUUGGAUGACAGGAUUCAAGAGAUAUUCUGCCACAUUUGCUGAUUUUGCUGCUGCCAAUAGUCUAAAUUAUGGCAUCAUUUCAGCCGGGAUUGAUCUCUACACUGAAGAUAAUUUUGAGGACUUUGUGCAAUUUUAUGAGCCAGCAAGGCUGGACAUACCUAGGAGGUUUGGAGAGACAGCAGGACUGAGGCAUCAUCCUGCUGUGAUCAACAAGAUUGCAAGAGUCAUUAUUCUUCCUAAGAGUGGGGAUAAGAGCAAAAUUCGAGACAAAUUCUGAAACAUUAUCCACCAUGUCAUGAAUGGUGAGGUAAUGAAUAUUGUGCUCUUCAUGAUGAGACAGCUAAAUGAUCUGAAAAUGGACAAAAACUAGAAUUUAGCCUAUGCGCCUUAUAUUAUGGCUCUCAUCAAAGCAAAGACAAGAUUUGAGGGGCCCUGUGAGAUAGUUCAUACACCGUUUAGACCCUUCAAGAAUGAAAUUGGGUUUCUCACCAGGCCACUCACUCCCUUCCCAGAUGAUGAGGAAGACCCUGGUUAUGAUGCAGGAGCAAAUCAUGAAGAUGAGGCAGAGCAGAUGCCUCCACCUCCACCUCCUCCUCCGCCUCAGCAGUAUUGGCAGCCUGGUCCAGGCUACUUUGACCCAUAUUGAAAGGGAAAUGUGCCCUUGGGCCAUUUCUAAGUAUUUUGGUGAUUAAGUGUCCAACACAAGUGCCUAAGUGUUAAAUUGUGCAAAGGACUCAAAAAGUGAAAAUCAAGAGAAAAGGUAUGUUUCUAGACUUGGUACAUUGAUUUGAAGACUAAUGUAUUGUGUCUAAGUGCUAGAAACAGGAGAAAUUGUUUUGAAGAAAAGUUGGCUAAGUACAGCCAAAAUGCAGCUCAGUCUGGGUGCACCGGACUGUCCGGUGCGCCAGGCUGACAUCUGCGAACUUGCUGCUCUCGGGACUUCGUCGGCGGAGUACGGCUAAAAAUCACCGGGCUGUCCGGUGAGCCAAUAGUCAGCCGGGCCAACGGUCGGCCGCGGAAUCCGCGCGCGACGCGUGGCAAGUGCCAACGGUCGGAAGGGGCACCGGACUGUCCGGUGUGCACCGGACAAUGUCCAGUGCGCCAACGGCUCCAAGACUGCAACGGUUGGCUUCGCCAAAUAAGGAAAGAGAUCCGCACCGGACAGUGUCCGGUGCGCCAAGCGACUGAAGGCAAGAAUUGUCUUCCUGGAAUGUUAUCAACGGCUCCUAGCUGCCUUGGGGCUAUAAAAUGGACCCCUAGGCGCAUGGAGGAGUACACCAAGCAUUCUCUAAGCAUUCCUAAGCACCAAGACUUCAAUUCCGCGCAUUUGAUUCUUUGUGAUAGCAACUAGAGCUUCAUUUGAGUUGUGAACUCGCCGGGUUGUGUUGUGAGUGUAAGUGCAAUCAACCCUAAUUGAGGGUUUUGGUGAUUAAUGACAAAACAAACUAAGAUUCUAACAAGUUUGCUCCUAGUAUGUACACAGUAUUUCUACAGACAGGAGAAGCACAGAUCUUACGAGCAUAAAAGUAUAAAGCACAGCGGAUUUAAAAUUCCACAUCAAAUGGCGUGCUCCAAGUGCUAUGAAAUAACGGCGGUGCUAAGUUUAUAAUUCUUGAGUCAUAAGAAUCGCCGUACAAUUAAGAGGGAUCCGCGACGGUUAAGUAAGUUGUGAAACGAGCCAAGUUCAAUUCUUUUGAAAACUCCUUUGAGAUCACUUUUCCCAGAUCAUGAAUGCUCUUGAGAAAAACAAAUUUCACUUCCCACAAAGUCUCCCUCUUUGUUCUCUUCAAAAUUCUCAAAAGUUUGGUUUCAGCCCCCAAAACCGGUUCAACCGGUCCUGAAACCGGUUCAACCGGUUUUGGUACUGUUCACCCUGCCACCUCUGCUCUGACCUGUCUGACAGUCAGAGCUGUCAGAAAAGUCGUAGCAGAUAUUUUUCAGAAACCGGUUGAGCCGAUUUUUGUCCCUACUCAGCCGGUUUUAAAACUGGUCCAGUGUCCGGCUGAGUAGACCAGUGGACCGGGAUCUCCCUGGCAGAAACCGGUUCAACCGGUUUGAAAACCGGUUCAACCGGUUUUUGUCCAUUCUCUCCCAACGGCUGCCAGCUUUUUGGGGGAUCCUUUAUAUACCCCCUCACACUCUCUCUCUCAUUUACUCCUGCCUCUCCCACGAAUCUUUGGCUGACCAACCCUCAAACAAGAGCAUUCACUUCACCUCUCACACCCGCAAUCGCAUCUCCUUCAAUCAUUUGAAGGACCCUUGGUGUGAGGUGAACUCGAUCGAACUCGCUGUCAAUUUCAUCUCGAUUCUCCCAUUCUCUUGUUCUUGAGCUCGUUGCAAACUUAACCGUGUGCGGAUUUGUUACUCUUGGAACCUCGUGUUCCUUGACGGUUAGAGGUUGCUUGGGAGUCUCCAAAUCUGUGGACGACCCCAAGAAGUUUGUAUCACCCGCUCCUUGAGCAGAUUUGAGAAGAGAUUGCCUUGACCUUUGUGGUCGGCUUGUGGAGGAUUAGGGUUGGAAAAGACCCGGCCCUUUGUGGGUUCCUCAACGAGGAGUAGGACACCUUUGUGGUGGUUGCCGAACCUCGGGUUAUAUCGCGUGUUCUUGUGUGUUCUUGUUAAGCGCUUCAUAUUCGGUGGUUGGUUCAUAUUAUUCAUUUAAGUAGUUCUUGUGUAGGGCAAAUCUUUAGCUAUUUUCUUUACUACUUCGCAUUUGUUCAAUAGAUUAUUAAAUUUAAGUUGAGUGGGUUCAAACUUGUUCAGUUGUGAUUAAAAUCGACUGAACCGGUUUGCACCUGUGCAACUUUAAUUUAACCUAUUUCGAAGUUUUUAGUGAAAAUUUUCAGGUGUAGCCUAUUCACCCCCCUCUAGGCUACUUUUAAUUGGUAUCGGAGCUUCGUGCCUCGUUUUACGCUUAACCGUGUGAGGAAACGAUCAUGUCUACACAACGGGACCAUGUGGAUCCUCUCCUCGAGGAAAUCCCCGUCACAUCUUCCGGUGAGGAAGUGGACCCCAAGGUCCUCAACCUCGCCAUGAAGAUUGCCGAGAAAAUGUUCCUCAAAAUGAAAGAGGAAGAUGCUAGGAAAAAGGCCGAAGAAGAGGAAUCAAGAAGAAAGGCCGAAGAAGAUAAAGGUAAGGGAACAUUUGAUUAUAAUGACGAUCUAGUGGAUCUUUUGGUGUCUAAGGUAUUGAGCAAGGUAAGUCUCAACACCGAAGGAUCAUCUACCAAAAGCAAAGGUAAUGACUUUAGCAAAGUUCAAUUCGAUUACUCUAGAAAUUAUAUUCCCAACUUCUCUUCCGCCCCACUUGGAAAGUUACCAACUCUUAGUGAGUUGAACUAUGAUGAGUGGGCCGACAAGAUGAAGGCGCAUUUAAUCGGUGUGCAUCCUAGUCUUUGGGAGAUUGUUAAUGUAGGUAUGUAUAAGCCCGCCCAAGGAGAAGAGAUGACUCCGGAAAUGAUGCAAGAGGUUCAUCGAAAUGCUCAAGCAGUGAGCAUAAUUAAAGGAAGUCUUUGUCCGGAAGAAUACCGGAAAGUUCAAGGAAGAGAAGAUGCUCGUGACAUUUGGAACAUUCUUAGAAUGUCACAUGAAGGAGAUCCCAAAGCUAAAAGACAUAGAGUUGAAGCUUUGGAAAGUGAGCUUGCAAGAUAUGAUUGGACAAAGGGUGAGUCUCUCCAAUCACUCUUUGAUCGAUUGAUGGUAUUGGUCAACAAAAUAAGAGUUCUUGGGAGUGAAUAUUGGAGUGACUCCAAGGUCACAAGAUUGUUCAUGAGAGCUUAUAAAUAGAAGGAUAAAAGUCUUGCAAGGAUGAUAAGGGAUCGUGAUGAUUAUGAGGACAUGACGCCCCAUCAAUUAUUUGCAAAAAUUCAACAACACGAGUCCGAAGAAGCCCCCAUCAAGAUAAGAGACUCUCAUGCCUUGAUCACAAAUGAACAAGACAAUCUCAAGAAGAGCAAAGACCACAAAGCAAAGAAAGUGGUCGAGACCUCAAGUGAUGAAGAUAGCUCAAGUGAUGAAGACACAGCUAUGUUCAUCAAAACUUUCAAGAAAUUUGUAAGGAAGAAUGACAAGUUCCAAAGGAAAGGAAAGAAGAGGGCAUGCUAUGAAUGUGGCCAAACCGGUCAUUUCAUAGCGGAUUGUCCUAACAAGAAGGAACAAGAAGCCAAGAAGGAAUACAAGAAGGAUAAGUUUAAAAAGGGAGGCAAGACCAAGGGAUACUUCAAGAAGAAGAAGUAUGGACAAGCUCAUAUUGGUGAAGAAUGGAACUCCGAUGAUGAGAGUUCUAGCUCCGAGGAAGAGGAAGUGGUGGCAAAUGUGGCCAUCCAAUCUACAUCAAGCGCGCAACUCUUCACCAACCUUCAAGAUGACUCCUACACUCCAACUUGCCUCAUGGCAAAGGGAGAUAAGGUAACUUUAUUUAGUAAUGAUUUUUCAAAUGAUGAGGAUGAUGAUCAAAUUGCCAUGAAAAAUAAAAUGAUUAAAGAAUUUGGCUUAAAUGGAUACAAUGUUAUCACAAAAUUAAUGGAAAAGCUAGAUAAAAGAAAAGCAACUCUUGAUGCUCAAGAAGACUUGCUUAUCCUUGAAAAGGAAAGAAACCUAGAGCUUCAAGAGUUGAUUCACAAUAAAGAUAAAGAAGUAAUUAACUUGAAAACCUCUAUUGAUAACCUUGCAAAUAGAAAGAAUGCACUUGAAUCAAGCAUGUUAAGCUUGAAUGUUCAAAAUCAAGAACUUCAAGUGCAACUUGAAAAUUGCAAGAACAUCAAUGCCCCCACUUUAGUAUUUGAAUCUAAGUCUAGCUCUAAUGAUGAUUCUUGCAAGCAUUGUGCCAAAUAUCAUGCUUCUUGUUGUCUAACUAACCAUGCAAGGAAGCAUAGCCCACAGGUGAAGGUCAAAGAAAUUUUGAAAAGAUGCUCUAGCAAUGAUGGGUUAAAGAAAGUUGAACCCAAGUACAAGUCCCUUAAGCCCAACAAUGGUAGAAGGGGGCUUGGGUUCAACUCAUCCAAGGAAAACCCUAGCACAGUGCAUAAGGGGUGGAGAUCCCCCAAGUUCAUAGAGGGAACCACUCUAUAUGAUGCCUUGGGGAGGAUCCACUCCUCAAAUGACAAGUCAUCUCAGGUAAAAGUUAACUUGAGUUCCACAAAGAGUAAGAUGAAGGAAGUGGGAUCCUCAAGUGGACAAAAAUCUAAUGCUCCCAUUUCCCACUCAUAUCUUUGUGAUUAUAUGUUGACUUGGGAUUCAGGGAAAUUGGUUGUGAAAUAUGUGGGUGCCUACACUAAACAAAAAGUCAUGAAAAGAAGUGUGUGGGUACCCAAGGCUAUAACUAACACUGUAGGACCCAAUUCAAUUUGGGUACCUAAAAGUAUAGCCUAAACUUGUUUUGCAGGUCUACUCCUCUGGUGGGUCAAGUUGGGUGCUUAACAGUGGAUGUACAAAUCACAUGACCGGGGAGAAAGACAUGUUUCAUACAUUGCAACUAACUCAAGAAGCACAAGAAAUUGUGUUUGGAGAUAGUGGCAAGAGUAAGGUGAUUGGUAUUGGUAAAAUUCCUAUCUCUGACCAAUAAUCACUUUCAAAUGUUUUAUUAGUAGAUUCCUUGAGCUAUAAUUUGUUGUCCGUUUCACAACUUUGUGGAAUGGGUUAUAAUUGCUUAUUUUCGGAUGUGGAUGUGAAGAUCCUUAGAAUGGAGGACUCCUCAGUUGCCUUUACCGGUCGCUUGAAGGGCAAGCUUUAUCUUGUUGAUUUCACAACAAGUAAAGUGACGCCUGAGACUUGUUUAGUGGCAAAAUCCGACAAGGGUUGGCUAUGGCAUCGCCGGCUAGCUCAUGUCGGUAUGAGGAAUUUGGCCAAACUUCAAAAGGAUAAUCACAUCAUUGGACUAACAAAUGUUGUAUUUGAGAAAGAUAGGGUUUGUGGCGCAUGCCAAGCAGGAAAGCAACAUGGAGUCCCACAUCAAUCAAAGAAUGUGGUCACAACAAAAAGGCCAUUGGAGCUUCUUCACAUGGACCUCUUCGGACCUGUGGCCUACAUUAGCAUUGGUGGUAGUAAGUAUGGUUUAGUUAUUGUUGAUGAUUUUUCUCGAUUCACUUGGGUUUUCUUUUUGAGUGACAAAGGUGAAACUCAAGAAAUUUUAAAGAAAUUCAUGAGGAGAGCUCAAAAUGAAUUUGAGCUCAAAAUCAAGAAAGUGAGAAGCGAUAAUGGGACGGAAUUCAAGAACACAGGUGUCGAAGAAUUCUUAGGAGAAGAGGGAAUCAAACAUGAGUUCUCGGUGCCUUACACUCCACAACAAAAUGGUGUUGUGGAAAGAAUGAACCAGACUCUAAUUGAAGCUGCAAGAACCAUGUUGGAUGAAUACAAGACACCUGACAACUUCUGGGCAGAGGCGGUCAACACCGCCUGUCAUGCAAUCAACCGCCUCUAUCUUCAUAAGAUCUACAAAAAGACUGCUUAUGAGCUUCUCACUGGUAACAAACCUAAAGUUGAUUAUUUUAGAGUAUUCGGUUGUAAAUGUUUUAUUCUUAACAAGAAAGUCAAGAGCUCAAAGUUUGCUCCUAGAGUGGACGAGGGUUUCUUGCUUGGUUAUGCAUCAAAUGCGCAUGGAUAUCGUGUUUUCAACAAUUCCACCGGUCUUGUUGAAAUAGCGAUAGACGUGACAUUUGAUGAGUCUAAUGGCUCGCAAGGGCAUGUUUCUAAUGACACUGCAGAAAAUGAAGAACUACCUUGUGAGGCCAUAAAGAAACUUGCCAUAGGUGAGGUGAGACCUCAAAAAAGGGAUGAUGAAGAAGGAACCUUGUGGAUGACCAAUGAGGUAGUUGAUGUGGGUGCAAGGGUGGUGUGUGACAAUGUCUCCACCCAAGCAAACCCAUCAACCUCAAGUCAUCCAAACCACGAAGAAAAUCAUCAAAGGAUGCCAACAGUGGUAGAAGAUGAACAAGAAAAUAUUGAUGGUGAAGUGCCUCUUGAUCAAGUAACUGAUGAGGAAGAGCAAAUACAAAGACAUCCAUCAGUGCCUCAUCCAAGAGUCCAUCAUACAAUUCAAAGGGAUCAUCCGGUGGACAACAUCCUGGGUAGCAUCAGGAGAGGGGUAACGACUCGAUCUCGUUUAGCUAAUUUUUGUGAAUUUUACUCGUUUGUUUCCUCUCUUGAGUCACUUAAGGUUGAAGAAGCAUUGGGUGAUCCGGAUUGGAUAAUUGCGAUGCAAGAGGAGUUGAACAACUUCACUAGGAAUGAAGUCUGGUCCUUAGUCCAAAGACCCAAACAAAAUGUGAUUGGGACUAAAUGGGUCUUUAGGAACAAGCAAGAUGAAAAUGGCGUUGUUACAAGAAACAAGGCAAGGUUGGUUGCCCAAGGCUAUACUCAAGUGGAAGGACUUGAUUUUGGUGAAACAUAUGCGCCGGUAGCAAGGUUAGAAUCAAUUAGAAUAUUAAUUGCCUAUGCUACUAACCAUGAUUUCAAGCUAUAUCAAAUGGAUGUCAAGAGCGCUUUUCUAAAUGGACCACUACAAGAAAGAGUAUAUGUGGAGCAACCACCGGGCUUCGAAGACCCAAAGAAGCCAAAUCAUGUUUAUCUUCUUCACAAGGCACUCUACGGGCUUAAACAAGCCCCUAGAGCUUGGUAUGACUGUCUUAAAGAUUUUUUAAUUAAAAAUGGGUUUACAAUAGAAAAAGCUGACUCUACUUUGUUUACUCGAAAAGUUGAUAAUGAAUUAUUUGUGUGCCAAAUAUAUGUUGAUGACAUUAUAUUUGGUAGUACUAAUGAAAAAUUUUGUGAAGAGUUUAGCAAAGUAAUGACGAACAGGUUUGAGAUGUCUAUGAUGGGCGAGCUUAAAUACUUCCUGGGAUUUCAAGUCAAACAACUCAAGGAAGGUACCUUUCUAUGCCAAACUAAAUAUACUCAAGAUAUGCUCAAGAAGUUUGGCAUGGAAAAAGCAAAGCACGCCAAGACUCCAAUGUCAUCAAAUGGACAUCUCGACCUAAAUGAGGAAGGUAAACCUGUAGAUCAAAAAUUAUAUAGAUCAAUGAUAGGAUCACUGCUUUACUUAUGUGCAUCUAGGCCUGAUAUAAUGUUGAGUGUUUGUAUGUGUGCACGUUUUCAAGCAAAUCCUAAAGACUGUCAUCUUGUAGCCGUUAAGAGAAUUCUAAGAUAUUUAGUCCACACCCAAAACCUAGGAUUAUGGUAUCCUAAAGGCUCCUUUUUCGAUUUGCUUGGCUAUUCUGACUCAGAUUAUGCUGGUUGCAAAGUAGAUCGAAAAAGCACUACUGGGACUUGCCAAUUCCUUGGGCGGUCCUUAGUGUCAUGGAGUUCCAAGAAACAAAAUUGUGUUGCACUCUCCACUGCAGAAGCUGAAUACAUAGCAGCUGGGGCAUGUUGUGCACAGUUGCUAUGGAUGAAGCAAACCCUUAGAGAUUUUGGUUGUGAGUUUAAUAAAAUUCCACUUUUGUGUGACAAUGAGAGUGCCAUAAAACUUGCAAACAAUCCGGUGCAACACUCUAGAACUAAACAUAUUGACAUCAGACACCAUUUCUUGAGAGACCAUGAAGCCAAAGGAGAUAUCGAACUAUUUCAUGUGAGCACCGAAAAUCAACUAGCCGAUAUCUUCACAAAACCCCUUGAUGAGACUAGGUUUUGUUUUCUUAGGAGUGAGCUAAAUAUCUUGGAUUCUCGAAACGUGUCUUAAUAACUCAAAUUUUGAUCAAAUUUGAUAAUUGAAAAUUGAUUGUUUGAGCAAUAUGAAAUGAGAAAUGUCAUUUUUAUCUUUAAAAUAUCUCAUGUCAUAUUUGCUAAGUGCUAUUUCAGCCAUUCCGGGCAAUAUUUGAAAUCUGGUUGAGUAAACCGGCUGAGUAGACCACUCAACCGGUUUCUUCCUGGUGGAAACCGGUUGAACCGGUGUAAAAACCGGUUGAACCGGUUUUGGCCGUCGCGCCGUCAGUCCGCGCGCAGUCUGCGCUGACAGCUGCGCAGUCUGCGCUGUCAGUUUUGCAGUCUGUGCUGUCAGACUGCCAGGUUUUUCGCGCAGUCAACACUGUUUUCUGCGCGCUUUUACUGCGCCGUUUGACCCGAAACCGGUUGAACCGGUUUUCGGUUUUCUGGCGGCUGACUCCUCUCCUUUUUAUACCUCUCCCUCUCUCCUCUUCCCUUCUCAGUCUUGUUUCUCAGCCGCCGCCGCCAUCUCUUUUUCUCCUCUCUCCUCUCCAAACUCUCUCGAGCCCUCACCCUUUUGGAAGUGUGGUUGGAGAUCCGUUCUUCCCGGCGUGUUUCCACCAUCUUCCUCCAUCUCGUUGGGAGAUCUUGACCCCAUCUUCGGAUCGAGGUAUUGUCCUAUGUUAUUUCCUUGUACUCGAUCCUACGUAUUUUUGAUUAUCUAUUGUAUCGUUCGUUGGGUACACCUUAGUUUAAGUGAUUGCUACACUUAGACUAUCUUCAUUUGUCACAAACAUUGUUAAAGAUUGGCGAUUCGAUGUUGUUCAUUGCAGUUGAACCGCUCAUAUUAACGGUUAAAGUGCAUGGUCAAUAUCUUAUGCGUUCCUUCUCAAACAUGUUUGAUCCUUGCUCAUCAUAGGUUCUAUUUCUUAUUUCUUAGAAUGGUGCAUCGAAGGAACCCGUCGGUGGUCGAAUCCGACUCCUCGGAUGACCAGGAGAUUCAUGGUGAUACCCCUCCUCGCUCUCGAUCCAAGCGAGGGCGCGGAUGCGGCAAUGUCAUGCCGGGUACUGAGGCCUCCGGGUCUCAAAGUGCUCGCGGUCGGACUUCCCGGACUCCUUCCGGUCGGUCUCGACCUGCGACGAAUCCACAGGCGUGGGAGCCUGCAAGUGAUGAUGAUGGUGGGAAGGACGAUGAAGUUGAUCUUCCCCCGGCUCAGGCUCCUGUGAUUCGCGGCUUGGUGCUCCACCGGGCCGAGGCUCGGCGUGCUGGCAAUGAGCCAGUCACUGACUUCACGGCCAGUGGAGGGUCCGCUCUUCUCCAGGAUCUUCGUUUCCAAAAUCCUGUAUUGCGUAUUCGCGAUGCCAGGAUCGAUGGAAAUCGCUUUUGGACUCUUCACCACGUGGAUUUCUAUAAUUCAGUCAUUCUUCCCAAGAAGCAUCAACCCAUCCUUCAUCAACGAUAUAUUAACUGGGAAGGUUGUGAAGCAAUUGGGGACCCAGAAAUGUCACAGGCACUGAGGGCAUGUGAGAGGAAGCAAAUGAAGAACAUCAUGACAUUCCAAUAUGAUUGGAAUGAUGAAGUGAUUGCACAAUUCUACUCCACUCUCUGGAUAAAGCUUGCUGAUGAGGAGAGUCAUUACAACUACCCCUAUCUGAACUUCUUCAUUGAAGGUAGUUGGUACAAGGUGAGCUAUCGUCGUUUUGCUCACAUUCUUGGUUUUUCUGACGAGGAUAUAUCUGGAGACAAGAUCAAGAUUCAUGAUUUCCGGCAGCCCAUAAGAGAUGAAGCCAAAGACCUUCAUCUGUCUGAGUCUGGAAAGUAUUGGGAGUCAACCAACAUUCAUAAGUAUUAUCGUUAUAUCAACUCCCUCUGCAGGAUGACCCUCAUUCCAAAAGGGGGAAAUCAGAUGAACAUCCUUGGGGAGAGCAAAGUCUUGCUCUCUUUUAUGAAACCAAAUAGCUCAGAAAGGAUUAAUGUCUUUGACAUGAUUUGGCAGGAAAUUAUUCAUGCAGCCUGCUUUCCUUUGAAGGGGUGUCUUCAUGCUCCAUUCAUUAUGAAGAUGAUUGAGGUCGUGACCCAAUUCAGAUUUGAAAAAGGCACCCGACAUCAGUCAUACACUCCUUUCUGGAUUGAUCCCAACAAUCCAGCUGGGCGCCUCAGGAAAGCCCCCUCCAGUUCUCGUGGUCAUACAUCUGCUGGUCCGUCUGCCGGUGCUGGUGCUGGUGGUGCUGCUGCUACUGGUGCCUCGCGCCCUUCCCCUGGCCGCGGAUCUCCCACACCACGUCGUCGUGGUCGUGGUCGAGGUCGUGGCCGUGGGAUGGGUGCCCGCCUGGCCCACGGGUUUGCGGCCUUCUUCUCCAUGUGCCGAAAUAUUGCUGCAGAUGUCCAUGAGGUGGCUCGACGUCAGCGGGAGACCGACGACAACCUUCGUCGUCAAGCUUCCGCUUUGGGUACUCCCUUCGCCCCUCGCUCUCCUGAUGUACCUCUUCACCCUCCUCCUCCAGAUGUCAACGAGUGGUACCAGCAGGCGUAUGGGGUACCUUUUUCAUCAGCCGAUGACGUCGACGAAGAAGAAACUUAUUUUGAUGAUCCGGAGCAGUUUGACCCUCCCCCAUAUCACGGGGAUCCGGGCCAAUCGUCUUCUUACCCUCCGCCCCAGGACCCGUCUGGCAGUGCUCCUCCUCCGGCCCAGUCUGGAGAGGAACACUUUGCCUCCGACCUGGCGCAAC
rnacentral:lncRNA from 1 species